GAGAGAGAGAGAGAGAGAGUUUGACAAGCAAUGAAUGAUGCUUCGAAAUGUAGCAAGAAGAACGGCGACAGGGGAGCACACGACACUGUAUCGACUCAGUGUCGCAGUGAGGCACUGUAGCAGGAGCAGCUGCUGGAAGAGGAGGUGAUGUUUCAUGUUUCACGCACCGUCUUCUGCUGAUCUCGCAAGAAGCGCAACCACGGGAGGACCAGUCAAGUACCACCCAACAACGGUGCCCCGUGGUAACACGGAAACCGGUUUCGGAACUGUUCCAAGAGAAAGAAGGCACAUGAGAGAGAGAGAGAGAGAGAGAGAGAGAGAGAGAGAGAAAGGAUAAUGGAUGUGGACAUGACGAUAAAAGAUUGGUCUGACCGAGAUUUCCAUUUCUAUGCUUCGCAGGCUUUUCCCACUUUCGCUUUACCUCUUUUUUUCUCGCUCCUACACAUGCUCUUUUGAGAUGAGAUGGACUUCACAUUCCUCCAUCUCCCCAACUAGGCAUCACCACCAAUCAACUCGAACGCAUGGUUCCUUGCUAUACUCUACGCUUAAGAUUCGUACUGUCAUAUCAUAUUUUAAUCGAGUCAACCUUACAUCCCAUGUUAAAUCAAAGCAUGGAAACUAAACAAAGGGAUAGACAAGGGAAUGCUAGUGAUGUAGCGGACAUUAUGCAGUAUGUAUGUAAUAGUUGUUGCUUCGAUGAUUCCCGCAGAGUGUUCACAGAAGGCAGGGAAUUACAAGUGCCGAAACGUCUGUGCAGCGCUCAUUCCUCAUCCCAGCUUCUCCCUCCUCUUGCACCGUCACUCGUUUGUCUCAUUUCUCCCACACACAUACACACGCAACCAGCGGACACCUCACACACGGAUGCCCCCUGUUCCAACACCUCCAUACGAAACAAAAGAACGAGAGGGCACGGACAACAAAAAGUGGAUCCCUUUGAGCAGUGCUGGAGGAGAAGGAAUGGACCAUGUCACCUUAGGUGUGGGGUGCGCGUUCUUUGGGAUCAUGAUUGGUCACUUUCAAGUUUGGCUUGCUCGACAUGUUAUCCCUCCUUUUCCCCGUCCGAACACAGAUGUCCCCGCUUCCCCUCACGCCAAGCUACACAAAGAAGAUAACAUCUGCGAGCUGCGGGCGAGAACACCGGGAUGUGUUGUGUUGGAAACCGAGUGGAUGGAUGCAACGUCGCUGAUCGAGGCGCUACCACAACAUGCCAACACAAUAAUACUUGAUUAAGACAAUUCGUGGGAGAUGCUCCAAAGCGGAGCCUGCGUUGAUCUAAGUCUCCAAACUUACUCAUGCCUAGUUUUGACUGUUUCGCAUGUGAGUGCGAACAGUGGCAGUAACUCGAGAACCUUUACAGAGCUGUGCAGGUUAGCAGUAGGAUCAGCUACAGAACUGACUCUACGUCACUGGAUCGUGAGAACCUUAACACUGGCCACGUACUGUGGAGGUACCGGGUUGGGUAUGCUGAAGUCUCGGAGUCCGUCUUCUCCCUCGGAUCUUAGGUGGAGCUCGAUAUAUCGUGGUGGGUGGGCGAGCAUCGUUCAACAUGUAGGGGCAGUGAUGCACGUAGGGGAAGACAUGGAUGCAUGUAUGUGGCUUUGACCCUCUCGUAUCGCAUGGUUUUACGGGGGGUCAUCAAGGGACGUGCGCGUUCUGCAUGUGUUGGCUGUUUCCCUCUGUUUGCAAGUGAGGCCAGAUUAAUGAUGCAUAUAGAUUACGAAAUAUUAUAUCGUAUCAUCAUCCUGAAUGCAUGAGAGUGGAAGUAGAGAGAGGGAUUUCUGGUUUUAAAUAGUAAUAGCGGGGAGGGGUGAUAGCCGGAAGAGAAUUUGAAAAAAAUGAUGGGAAAAUGGGAUUUGAGAAGGAAUAGGUGAUGAAGAAGUGGUAAAAGGAUUUAAAAGUGAUUGUAUCAAUGAUACUUCAAAAGAUAGGAGUGAAGAAAUAUUGUUUUGGCAAGGAAGGCAUUAAUUCCAAUGAUAACAUUGAAUUAAUCAUAUCUUUGUCAAAUAUAUAUAUAGUUGGUAGUAAGGUUACAUAUAGAUAGAUGGAUUAUGAUAUGAUGAGGGUAAUAAUAACGAUGGGACGUAAACUGACGUCGUCGCCUGCUCUUGGGUGACGUCUCCUGUGUCACGUGAAUCGAGGAGACACAUGGGUCAUCUGUCUCGGUCUGACCUGAUAGCACUGGGUCGAGACAGACCAGAAUGCCGACCGAGGCACGUCGCCAUCCUGCAAGAGCCCGAUCCUUCACGCAACCCCAACACCGGAGUCAGAUGCCUUCCCAGGUACGGUCCUGCUCCCUGCAAGUGGGCACAUCAACAAUGGUGACCUUUCCUAUAAAAACCCUUGCGUUCGAAACGAGGGAGGAGGGGAAAAAGGCCUCAUAAGAUUAUCGACUGACUUGAUCGUCGGAGGGGUCGGGUCGAGCUCUCCCGACCCGACCUGUAUGCAGGGACAAAGACGGAGCGCCACUCCACCGUGUGCCUAGGCGAGGAGUUCCCUACCGGAGGAAACGACUGCCCCGUCGAGACCGGAUCAACACACUCGACUACCUCAACACUCUCAAGGGUAAUCCCGAGAGAUCCUCGCUCAUUCGAAUUUGAACUCAACUGCGUUGACCCCGAGGCCGCGGCUUAAAGCUGUUGACACAACAUGAUACAACUUUUUGGUGACAUAGAAUGGUUGAGGAGAUGUGGCCAUCUCGGUAAGCAUUGCUAGAGAAGGUGUGGCGUCUUUUGAGGAGGCUCACGAAGGGAUAUUGUGAUUGGACUAGCUUGUUUUUGUGUCAAAUUUAAUAGGCCAUAGAAGAAAUCACCUUGCUCGUUAGAGAUAACCAGAGAAGAUGGUGGGAUGUUGGAGGGAGAAGCAUAAGGAGGAGGUGCAGAUGUAUUAGUGUUGGACGUAAGGGAAACCAAAGAUGAAUUUGGAUAAUACUCCACUUUAUGACAUGCUCUGGGAGUAAUUAAUUUUAUAAGCUGUAGUUUGAAAAAAAAAGGGGUCUCUCCAAUCUUAAUCUAUAGUCCUUAGGGAAGAGAGGAGAUAGGUCGAUAAGGAUACAUGUUCUUGCAAAUUUGCCUCCAUCACAUUUGAUAGUAAUAUCAUCAUCUAUCUCGACAGGUUUGCCUCAUAGAGCAUUAAUUUAAUAUAGAAUAUAGAAAUUUAAAAAUUCAAGAAGGAGAUCGAUGAAAUGGAUCUAAAUUGGCAUUUGCUUAACCAUGUCAUGUCCUAUAAGGGGAAGAAAGUUGUCUCUCCAAGGAAGAAGACAGAGGAGAGGGCUUGACUCUGAAAGAACAAAGGUCUCCCUCCCUAUAAGAAUAGAAGUCAUCUCUUCUUUCCAGUGGAAAUGAAAACAAAAAAUAUCCUAUUUGGAUACUAUAGGAAGGAUUCUACAGUUUAGGAAGAUUGAUAUUUAGGAUUUUAAGAGUUGGGGCCUUACCAAAAAAUUUGCCAUAGAGAUUACCAAAAUGAUUUAAUGAGAAAUCAAUAUGAUAUUUUAUUUAUUUAUUAAAAAAUAUUUUAUAUUUAUUUAUAUGAUUAUUUUUAUUUAAUUAUAAAUUUAGGCCAUGUAAAUUUUUUAUAAGAUUAUGUAUAUUAUUUACUUAUUAAUUUAAAUAAAAAUAUGUAUUUACUUUUGAAUAAAUAUUAAAACAUAUUAUAAUGAUAAAUUUAUCAUAAAAUAUUCAUAAAAUUUUAAUAUACAAUUUUAGCAAACAAAACUGAUGUCUAUCUGUUUUUUUUUUUCCAAAGUAUAUUGAGAGGAAUAUACUUAUGUGAUAUAUUUUUUAAUAUACACGUGUCAAAUUCCAUCAACGUGGAUUACCCAAACCGACGGAUUACUCUUCGUGACGUCAUAUUCUGAUUUAUUUGGGAAAAAAUUGAAGGCAGAAAACACGUGCCAAGUGCCAGCGUCACUGUGGCGGCCCGCGCUCGGCCCCUGAGACAUUGCCCCUUGCGUCAUCGGCGGCGGCGACGCCAGCGCAUUGGCGGAGGUAGCCGGAGAAGAAGGAGACGAAGAUGAAGGCGCUGAUAAGGACGAUGACGACGGGCAUGGGCCCAGCGGCGGGUCCCGGGAGUUGACCAACCAAUUCCGAUUGGCACGCGGACUCCAUCGAGUGGGUUUUAACGGUUCAACCCGCGGACUUGCAAAUUCACAGUUAGCUCUUGAAAUAUAUUGACAUCUCACGUAGCAAAAUAUACAGCAGUCUUUGAUUGAAAAGCACUUGGCUGCAAUUGUGGUACUCUGUUCUCGUAUAUGAAUUCAGUAUUCUCUGUCACGUCCAUGUUAUUAUCGAUAAAGGGAUCAAAGAGAGAUUACACUGCCGCAUAGUGCUUCUUCGACAAACUUACAGCAAUGAAGUGUUGCUGAAUAGUAUGCUCUCGAGAAUGUAGUAAGAAACUAUAGAAAGGAACUCAUGUACAAGUUUAAUCCCUAACAGAGCAAAAACAUAGGAUAACAAUGAUGGAUUAGGGAACCCAGAGAGAAUUUUGAGGCAUCCAUCAUUAUUUGGGCUUCAGAGAGGCCGCGAGACAUUAACUGUAUGGGUGGCCCAUUUCAAGAAAGAAGACGCAAGUUCUUGGGAUCAGAAAAGAACAAAAAGACCAAGGAUUAGAAUCAACAACAUAGAAUAAUGUCAUUUGCAUCGAGAUUCCAGUUAAAACAACUCUCAAUCAUCUACAUUAAUAAUUCAAGCAAAGGACGAACUUAAUGCACGAAACUUCGACCAAUGUGGGAUUUAUGAAGAGGACAAAAGUUAAUUUUGUAUUUUAGUACUUCAAAUAAUACAAAAGAUAUAACCAUAGAUUGCAUGAUCUUUAUAAGAUUAGACACAUAGAAGAUACACAGGUUUUUGCCGAGCUGGAGCUUCGAGGGACUUGUGCAAUCGAACAAUUUCUUUAUUUGUUUGUUUGUUUUUAUUAUUUUUCUCUUUGGAUUCUCCUAAGCUCCAAUCAUGAACCAUCGAUGAUCAUUGUCGGAUACGACUGGAUGAAUGACUUGAGCAGGACCAACGAUUCCUCCUCCACAGCUCCAAGUCUCUCUGCAAAACGGGACACCUUUCUGCAUCCAUGAGAUGACAGGGGUGUCAUCACUUUACCCUGUACCUCUUCCUCCUGCUUGUGCGGUCCCUAGUCGGAGAAACGACGUGCAAUGCAGCACUAGGAUGGAUCAAACAAGAGGGGAACAAUAUGGAGUCCAAUCCUGGCCUGUGUACAGAAACUACGCCUCAUGCUUUUAGCAUUUAAAGAACAAUAAAUGCUCUUUGCAUGUCCACCAACUCUAGCAAUAAAAUUUCAAUAAAUGUUACCUUUAAACUAUUAUUAUGUUCGUGUGACUUGCGCCAUUCAUUAUCUCCAUAUUAGAGAGUCAGAUCUUACCUGAGUUUUGGUCAUGUUGAAAGAGAGCUAAUCUUUGCAGUAAAAUUGUGUGAUACAUGAAUGAAAUGGCUUAGAUGUGUUAGCCAGCCAUUCACAUGCCCAAAGAAGGUCGAUGGGAAAUUAGAACCAUCUUGUUGGUAGAGUCUCGAGUCGAGCCAUCUAAAAAUAAAUCAUAAAUUCUUUUUGAUAUUCUUUAUAAAAGAAUUGUCUAUGAAUUUUGAAAUGCUUAAAAAUGCGAAAUCAUUUGUUUCGAAGCACUCUAACAUAUGCAUCAAGCGAAAGGAAAAAAAUAAUAUUUUAGACAAAAAUAUUCUCAUCAGAUCAAGAACACAUACGUAGGUAUCAACAAAAGUCUGCAUGAAACUCUUUAGAUGAGGUUCGAUCGUAUCGAUUGUUGUUUUGUAGAAUUGGUUUUUACACCGUUUAUCAUAUAAUAAUAGUUCGAUGAACGUAAAAAACACAUCACAAUCAUAUGAAUAUUUGGUUUCUAAAUAUUUUGAAUUUCCUAGAUCGAGGCCUUUCAUGACUGAUCUGAAAUCAUCUCUUUCUACGUACCCACGUAUACUUGCAUGUACAGUACAGAAGAGAAAAGCCAUCAAAAUCAUGCUUAAUCCUCGCAACACUUGGUCGUUAACUGAGUGAGAUUUGGUUUUAGAUAUACACAGAAAAGUAUAGUAAAUUAGACAAAAAGCAAAAAAAAAAAGAAAUCCCUGGAAUUGUUAGCAAAAGAAUCACAACUAUUUGAGCAUAUUAAUCAUCUUUCGGUUGUUAUUUCUUAUUAUCAUAGAGAAAAAAAGGUUGAACGAUUACGUUUGUCCGAGUCUCACACAUACGGCCCUCCGCAUUCAAAUUGGUUCAAAUCACCAUGAAAACCUCGAGGGUAUCAGUGUCCUUUUCUUCUUGUCGUAAAAUACGAAAUCAUUGGGAACUCAUGCAAUUGAAAGACCGGAUGUCUCCAAGGCCUCAUCAUGAGGAUAGUACCCAAACAUAACGAGCAUUUUAAUGAGGACAAAAUGCACUGUUCAUGGGAACAAUUAGUAAGGGUAGGAGUGCUUCGUUCUUAAAAUUAGUGAGUGUAUUGAGGCUACAACAGCUUCACUCCUUACCUCGUGUGUGCUAAUAAAUGGAGAUGAAUAAACCAAUACAUAUUGAAUGUCUGCAAUCUUAUGCUUAGCCCCUCGAUCAUAGUUUCAUUUUUCAUAAGGCAUCUCCAGCUGCGUUACGGUAACAUAUAUAUAUAUUUUAUGUAAUUCAUUUUUACUUAGCGUAAUGAUAGGCUUAUGGACCCAACCACAGAACUAUAUGUAUUGCUUAUCUGCAGAUGUUGUGAAAGAAAAAGAUGAGAGAAGAUGUUUAGAUUUCUGCAAAUGAAAACAUAAACAAAAAGGAAGGCGAAAUUAUUUGAACUGAUUCUAACAGGAGAUCAGUGUUUGCAUGCAUGCAUUCGACUGAUUCAUGCAUCAGUAGUGUCUUUUUGCAUUCACGGUUCCCAAGCCUCAUGUGACUCGUACGAACACUUUUUGACUUGCUGUCCGAAUCAUAAAGGUUGAGAGGGAGAACUGUACGCAAUAUUCCGUGGGUCGUUCUGAAUACGUAUCCAGAGGCUGCAGUCUGCAGCUUAUAAUGCAAGAGAGGGAGAGGGGAGAAGAGGGAAGGAGAGAGAGAGAGAGAGAGAGGGCGGGCGUCGUCAGCAAACCCGACGGUGGCAACACGCCAAAUCACGUACGUCCGCGUGUUUCUGGGUUGCCUCUCGUGAACGCCCCCAUGCAAAUCUUUGUACGAUAUAUCCCUCUAAAAACACCCCAAAAAAAAAAGAUAUUUAUCACCUUAAUUUAAUGCACAAUACAAAUAAUGCAUAUUCCAUACCCACGAAGAGAAGAAAGAUAUGAAAACAGAAGAGGGAAGAAAAUAUACCACAGAACUAGUAAGUAUUUUUUUUCAAUCAUUACUAUGGUAAUAAAAAGUACUCCACAUCGAUUCAUUUAACACAAGAUGUCAAUAUUCGAAUUAAGAAGCCAAGUAUGAGUUGAGCUUGCCAAAGUUAUAUAUAUCAUUACCAUAAUCGAAAAACUUGAGCUUCAAUUUGUGGUCAAACUUUUCCUUAGUCCUUGACGAUGUAAGAUCCUUUUACAUAGUUUUUUUGUUUUGUUCCCAAGUAUCAUUCGGACAUACAAACUUGUCCUUUACAUUGGUUGUGAAAUCAAAUUCCAGUUAUCAUUCUUGAAGCUGUGAUCUGUGAUCUGAUGUGUGAAAGUUUUUUUUUCCAUUUAAUUUUCUCAAUUAGUUUUCACAAGAAAAUAAGGCUGUCAUAUGUGUAUGGAAGAGAAAUAUUAUGUAGCUUUUAAAUGGAAGUAAAUAUAUGCAGAAUUGAUGGUUCAUUUAUGAAAUAACAACAAGUAUUUUGUAAUCAAAUAUGAAGUUUAGACUGUGACAACACACUCGAUUGACAUCAAGAGGAAGUGCAAAUCUAUCAUAAGCAUAAUAUUGAAUCUUGACCCAAUCUACUCAUAAGCAUAUCUUUAUUACUAAAAGUUAUAUUGUCAGAAGCACAAGUAAGUCAUUAGAGCUAGGAAAUGGGGGAUGAACUUUUAUCCACUUAAUGUUAUUGUGCCUUUCUUUACAAGGAAUAUGAUAAAACUAAAAAAUAUAUACAAUUAUAUCUUUCUUCUUCCUUUGAUCAAUCUUAUACCAUUAAAUUGUGAUGAGGAACUGUUAAAUCACAGCCCUGAAAGACUACUUUUUGCUACCAAAAUUUUUAAGAUCUAAUCACAGCUUUUCAACUCUUGAUUUAAUAAAAGUUUAUUAAAAUUACCUUUUACUACCAAAACAUGGGACGGUUCAAAUUAAUCCGAUAACAUUUUCUUCCACUCAUGUCCACUAAGCAUUAUAGACAUAGAUUGGACAAUUGAAUUUUAUACUUUGAAUAAGUAUCUCAUGACCUAAUCGGUGGGCAAAAUCGAGGUCGUAAAGGUUAACUAAAAUUUAUAACAAUUAAGGUAUUUUUUAGAUUUUACAAAGGAUGUGAGAUCAUGAUAAACCAAAUAAUAAUACAUUAGAAAAAAAAAUAUUUCAUCUCAUCAAGGUGAAGACUAUUUCUAAAAAUUAUAUUGUCUUUCUCCUCUCUUUAAAAAGAAAAUAAUACAUUAGAAAGACUAUUUUUAAAGAAAGGAAGAUUUGUUUUUCUCCUCUCUUUUUCCUAUUGUCUUUACAUUAGUAGUAUCAUUUGGUUUCCAUAAGUGUUAACUUGCCUGCAUACAGAAUCGAUCUAUCUUUGAUGAGAAAACCAAUAGCUCACAUGAUGAGGAAGUAAUUCCUGACGAUGAAUUAAUACAAAUAGAAGCAAAAUUUUGAAAGGCCAAAACACAGUAAUCAUUUAUAAUCUUCACAUCUUCUUUAUCGAAUAAAAAAAAUUACAAAGAUCAAAUAUAUUGUGAUUAAAUAUAUUCAUGAGCAAGUCUUGGAUUCAUUUAUCCCCAGUGGUGCACAGUCAAUAUAACUCUUUCAGCACAUCUUUGUCAUAUUUUCCAACAAGCAACUAUUUAGAACAGAAACAUUCUUAUCACUCUCUUCCAAGUUCAUUUUUAUGGACAUCAAUCAUUUCAGUUUGUUAGACAUGAUAAUGAUGUAUCUAAUGAUUGGGUUUACCAAACAAGAAUCUUCUAAAUUAUUCAGCACUCACUAUUUCCUCAGUGGAUGUUCAGCAUCAAGCAAUAGGACCCCUCCUCUAUUUAUGACUGUCAGUAGAAUCAUUGUUAGGUUUCUGACCACAGCCAUUGCAACUUUGUAAUAGAUCAUGUUUUUUGUGUCGGGCUUGAAGUUUUUGGCUAUUGAUAAAAUUUGGUUUUUUUACCAUAGUAAAACUUUAGGGUCAAAUACAGUAGAAGAGUGUUUGCUAUGUUAUCCUUUCUUACAUUUUGGUAAACUUGGCAAUAUGGAAUACAAACCUUAGAAAUAGCUGUCCCUGUAAUUUUUCUUAUUUUUGGACAAAUUUGUUAAAUUUCAUUAUUACAUGAUAAUCCCUCUUAUUUUUCUAUGCAUGCCAUGGUCUUCUAUUUUUAAGUCAACAUCUUCUGAAUAAACCAACUAAAUAUAAAUAAAACAAAAUCAUUUUUGCACCUAAUUGUGCAUAAUCAUAUAUCUAAAAAAGUGUGCUACUUCAAUCAAAUAACAAGAAAAUUGGAAAUGAAGCAAAUGAUUUGGAUUUUAUUCUCGACUCUAAUCUCCAUUCCCAUUUUUCAUGUAAGCUCAUUGUGACUGACAGAUAAUGCAGAAGAGAAAUAAAAUUCAUUAGAAAUUUAGGAUAUUCCUUAUAAUAUUUCAUGUCGAAUACUAAUGAAGAUUAAUAAAUAUUCUUAGUGGCGAAGAUGAAAUUCGAGCCUAGGACUUUGUGAUAAAUCGUCAAGAUCUUUAUUAGUUAAACUAAUUAGCACCUUUAACACCUUUAGUUAAACUUGUUAUUAGGUAAAUAACAAGUGUUUAGUGACUAAUAGCAAAGGUCAUAUAGACUUGUCUACAGAAAAGCCCAAGGUUUUACUAUGUGCACAACAUUUUUUAUCUUUUAAAAAAUAACAUAUGAAUGCUGAAAAUUUUAAAAUAGUAUAUAUAUUACUCUAAAUAUUAGUAUUCUUCCACAUUUGCCACUUCAGCUACCAUUAGUCAACAUACCAAGUAUAACCACUACUAUCUAUGUUACUGAAUUUUAAAUAAAUAUUUGAAAUGUAAAAUAGAAAUUUUAUUUAAAAUUUUAUUAUUUUAAUAGAGCUAUUAAUAUAAUCAAUAUAUUAAUAAAUGAUUUUUUUUUUCUUGAAAAGAAUCCAAAUUCUAAGAAACCAAUUAAAUUAGUAUCAGUAAUCCAACAUGUUGACUAAAAAUAGAUUCAUAUUGGAAUCCAUUCAAGAAUUAGAGCUAUGAUCCAACUAGAUUUAAAUCAAUUACAUUUAUUUGUUUCUCCACAAAUUAUGAUUUGAAUUUCUCAAAUAAUAAAUAUUGUUUAAAAGCCGUUUAAAUUGCUUUUGAAUUAUAGUAAUAGGUUGAGUUCCUAGCUCGGUAUCUCGGAUCAAAAUUGAUUUGUAUUCAAUGCAAUUAUCGUUGAAUAAUUGGACCAGGAUUCUAAUUAGAUUUCGAUCAAUAUUCUACUUAAAUCAGAUUCUGUCACGGAUUGGGUUACAAUCAACCACUCGAGAUGUUGAUCAUCUUAGAGGCAAUGUUGUUAUAUGAAUAAAUUGCACAAGUAGUUAAUUGAACAUUUUUUGGUCUUUCUUCUUUUAACUUUAAGACUUAAAUAUACUUAAACAACAGAAUAUGUAUGAUCAUUCAUUCAUCGAAGGUAACGAAGCAUUUGGCUUUCCCUAUAUGAUUUGAAUCUAAGUAGUUCAUAUUUCUUAAUAGAAUUUAAUUUGGUAUUUUUAUUUAGAAAAUGACGUUUUGAGUUUCUUUGAACUUUCAGUGAUAGAUAUGAUGCUUAGGAGUGCUUUUGCGUUGGUUGAUUAUGAUAUGCUGGCACGGGAACCAAUAAAAAAGCUCAGAAUCGAGAAAAACCUUCAAAACCUCGACACUCGAUCCAAGUGGAAAUCAAGUCCUCAGCUUCUCAAAGACUCGGAAGGAAGCGAGACAGAGCACUCAAAGCUUCUUCGAUAGAUUAACAUUCUUGAACAGGAGAGAUUGUUGGGUGUGGACGAGUAGUGUCACAUGAGGAAAUAAAGGAUAAUAUCAGGAACCGGUAGACUGUGAGUUUCAUGAUUCAUGUGAAAUAUAAGAUGUAAUGGUUGCGUAUAAUGAUUAGAUACAUUUAGAAACUUCUAUGCAUCAGAAUGGUUUUAUGAUUGCACUCAGAAGAUACUUGGAACUCGUGAGUUCAUGACCAGCUGAACAUAUUAAUAGUAGUGAUGAUGAUGAUAGAACUGAUGACGAUGCUUGUGGAUCGAUGAAUGAGAGCCAACUUGUGUUUGUGAGACUGACGAAGCACGAACUCUCGUUCUCGAGUUGUGGUUUAAUGUCGUUUGCGUGUUGUUCAUGGACUUUGAUUUCAUGUGCCUGUCUGUGGUUGGUGAUAGUAACUUGAAGAUGGAGACAGAAGCCGCAGGGGGUUCUCAUGCCCCACGCUGUUCCCAUCUCUCUCUCUCUCUCUCUCUCUCUCUCUCUCUCUCUCUCUCUCUCUCUGUGCAUGAGUAUGCAUAUGAUACGGAGUUUUCCAAGAAACCACAAGAUCGGGUAGGUUCAUGCAUUGGUUCGCAGUGUCAUGAAGUCCGCCAACGACGAAGCCCGUGAUGUUGUCAUAGUUGAAUCUUUGUCGGAAUGUUACGGCAUUGCUGUUUCCCUCAUCAAUACAAUCCUAUUUGAUUAUAUCAUCAUGAUGCAUUAUGCUCGACAGCAGAAACACAUGCAUGAGCAAAAAAUUGGCUGUCGUCAUACAAUGGCUUCUUCCAGAAAAGAUUAAAAAUGCCAUAUUAGAUUAUGUAAGACGUAAAUAAUAUAAUUAUUUAUAUCCUUCGACUAUCAACAAUCAUCCACAAGUUUCUGUACAAAAUCACAAAAGGAAGACAUCUUUUUAACGUGUUGAGUUCAUAAUCUUUGAAAUAUUUUGUUCAUUGUGUCUUUUCUAUGUAAUUAUUCUCGAUAUCAUCUUACCUUUUGUGGAGUUUCUGUUUAUGAGAAUAGUAACGCCUCUUUAGCAAUUCACAAACUCUCCGCUUUUCUUCAACACCAUUCCACCAAAUCAAACUUUUCAUGAGAAACUGUUUUCAUGGUAGCUAUAAUUCCUGUUCAAUAUUAAUUAUAUAUAUAUAAUAGUAUUUUGGUUUUUCUAACACUAAAAUUCCACUUUGUUACCUAAGAGGUAAAAGCAAAAACCAAGUUUUUUUUUCGUAGCAAAGGAAAGAAAAUAAAAUAAUAGAAAGACAGAGGAGAUUAUAUAAGUGAAAGAUCAUCUCACACUAUUUUCUUCCCGAACUCACUUUAGGAGGAUUCUUUAAUUUGUUGUCAACUACAAGUGUUAGAAGACAGAACGAUCGAUUUGAAUCUUUGAAUCAUUAACUUGGUUAAAACAAGAACAAUCCAAGGGAGGGUUGUUCACAGAAACAAUAGAGAAAAAGGCACAAGGCGUGAAUGAAUGAUGUAUAUCAUAAAGACGCUGAAACACUUACUUGUAUUCUGAGAGGUGCCAAUGCCAAAGAACUCAUGAAAAAGCAAUUGCGCUCUUCGUGAUCUUGACUUUAAAGCUCCUUACAUGCAUGCGAUGCAGCACUCCAGAACACAAACCGUCUUCAUAUACGUGCAAAACACAGACAUUAGUAUCUCACUUUUGCCUACAUCCUACGGCGACAAAAGAAGGGUGGGAUGGUAGGUAUAAAGGUCGUACAUGGGAGUAUUGACGAGUUACUAUCAACGGAAAGAUGAGACAAAAGCGAUCGAGAAGACUGUGCAGAACACAGUGUCUACGGAUUCAUCUCCCAGACUGAUAUAUCCCGACGCACGUCGCUGCGCUUUGUCUUCACCGGAUCAGAGUGUUGGCACUUGGGAAUGCAGCCUACUAACGUUGCAUGAUGCUGUGUGUGCUUCCAUGGCAGGAGUUAUCAUGACGGUGACACGUAAACGACAGAGGAGGAGCCAUGGCACAGUCAUACGGCACAUCCAGGCAAAUCGUUCCCUUCUAUACUGUUGAUAGAGACAAAACCUUUGGGAGGAAAUGGUUUGCUCUUAUGUGGAAGUUGGUAUUUUGGAUGUAUAGUAUGCGUUUCUUGCAAGUAUAGGGGGGCGUUGCAAGUGCAUGCAUGUACUUUGGCACGAGGAACAAGAGACGUCAACACUGGAAAACCCAAUUAUACCAUUUUGUUUUAUUUGAUAACCUAAGAUAUAUAUAUAUAUAUAUAUAUUCAUUUUUUGAUAAAUGAGUAAACUAUGUCGGUCAAUAUUUUAUGCAUUAAGUAUAUAUCAGAUGAGAGUUUAGAAUUUUAAUCUUUGAUAAAUGAGUUUAAUACACUAUCAGUAGAUUAAUAUUUUAGGUGUAAAAUAUAUGGAAUCCUUUAAUAAGUGAGUCUGGUAUCCCAAAAAAUAUAUGUCAGCAUAAGAACCUUAUUUAAGGUAAGGUAAAAGAAGAAUGAGUAAAAAAGUUGUAAGUGAUUUCCUGUAAUUUACCAAAUAAAUCCGUCGACAAAGAUAAAUUCGAAAUCCAACCCCCGUGAACAUUCUUAGAUCUUUCUGGCCAUUAUUGCAUGGACGACCUGACACCGUCGUCCCCACGCGAUCCACAGCGUACCAGCACGAGCAUUCAAUUGUUAUCACCUUAACAGUGGUGUCACACAACCCCCUGAUAUGGAAUCAUUCUCUGCCUCCUCCAACAGUGAAAGCUCAUGCAAUUUGUCAUCUGCAACAGCACCUUCAUUGGAAUCUUGUCUGAUCUAUCAAACAUUUCACCCCCAUUAUUACUUGGAAUCUCGCAAGUUUGGCAUAUCUACCCCUCCCAUGUAAGUGAAUUUUUGAUACAUCCAUCUAAAUUUAACUCUAUCCAUACUAGAAAAAAUCUACGAUAUGUCCAAACUCUGUAAGGACAGAGAUUGUCUCGCGAUGGAUCACAAUAAUCCCUAACAGUUAGGUGUCCUUCCUGACGCAGUCACUAGUUUUGUACAAGGGUUAGAGGAAUAAGCCUAUGGGUCUCUUCUCGGUAUUGUUGUCGCGUAUGGUGAUGUCGUCCCCGCGAACACUAUGCAUGCGACAGUCGACAUCCCAAAUUGGAGCGUAAGCUGUUGAUCGGUAGAUUUCAGGUGGGAGCAAUACAUCCUUUUUAGUCCCUUCUUACACCGUUAUUAUGCAUCGAUCCUUUUCGUAUGAAUCGCAACAAAAGAAAAGAACGAAGAAGCCUCGCCUCGAUCAUGUUCUUGCGACUACUCCAAGCUCGUGUGAUGCAGAAACCGGAUGGAGAUAAAGAGUAAAACAAGCAAAAGUUGAAGAUUUGCGGACGUAGAUAACAGGAAAAGUUUGACCUAACAAUGGACAGAGUUCCAGGGAGAAGCUUUCAGCCUUUAUGGCCGAUGACUGCAGAGGAAUUGGAGGAGGGACACUGGUGGUCACAUGGCCUUUUUCUCUUUAGCGCACAUAAGCGACAGCGCAGACACACGUCGACGCUCCAGAGGAACCCUUCAAGAUAUGUAGAGAGGGAGAGCUUCUUCUGCCAUGGCUACUUUCCUGUCAGCCUUUCCCCGUCCCCUUUUUGCCCUCGAUCUCUGUGCUUUGACAUCAGAUCAAUUAUGGACGAAUCAAAACAAAGCUCAAUUAUAACUCAUCGUAGCCAACCCCUCUACCCAUCGCCAAAUAAACUAACGCACGCCAUGUUACUUGUGUCUCUUCCCCUCCUUUGGCUUCAUCCGGAAAUGCUGUGCUGUUUCUUUUGGUUUCAUCGAGGCCUUUAAGUUUCCCUCUCCGCACGGAGGAAAGGGGCGAGCUCGCUCGGCCUGAGUGCCUUGAUUUGUGCUUUCCCCCGGAGUCGACAGCGAAGCAUAUGGCACUGGAAGCGGUGGUGUUCUCCCGAGACCUCCAUGGCUGCACCAUGAAGGAGCGGUACAACGUGGGCGGCGCAGCAUGGUGCCGUGCCUUCGCUGAGCAGAAGGGAAUGGAAUCAGAAUGUGAGGUCGGUAGUGGAAAGCAUGGGAGUUUGGACGCCCCUUGCACCUCCCUGACGCCAAAGACCGAUGCCCGCGGUGCAAACACGCCUCCGCCGGGGACUGCUGCAAAAGACGGUACUGAUGGCACCGCCGGCCACGAGGCGCCCGCCGGGCGGAGGAAGCGCAGGCGCACCAAGACAUUCAAGAACCAGGAAGAGGUGGAGAACCAGAGAAUGACCCACAUCGCCGUCGAGCGCAACCGGCGGAAGCAGAUGAACGAGUACCUCGGGGCGCUCCGGUGUCUCAUGCCGGCCUCCUACGUUCAAAGGGUUCGUCAUCCUUCCCCCCUCCCCUCCCCCACCCAUACUUAAUUCGCGUCGAUACCUAAUAGCAUGGAGGUCUCGCUUCAUUACAUCUGCUAACAACGAGCCGUGCUUUCAUUUUCGACAUCUGUGUGUGUGCCAUCUGAUGAUCUCUCUUUAUCAGAUGUCUUGUUCCUAGCGUAAAGUUUUCAGAGCCUAGUGGCAGACUUUACAACCAUGUCUGGUCAUCGUUCGGGUCCUUUGGUUCCCAAAAUGACAAAGAAUCUCACUGUCUCACAGCAAUGAGUUGAGAGAUCAUGUCAUAUGGCUGGUGGCUAUAACCAGUUCAGCUUUUAUUGCUUUACCUCUUAAUAAAGUCUCUUAAAAUGAAUGAAUGAGAAUGAGAUUUAGCGAAGCCAUCAUCAUGUCAUUCAUCAUCAACAGGGUGAUCAAGCAUCGAUCAUCGGAGGGGCGAUAAACUUCGUCAAAGAGCUCGAACAAUUAGUUCAAUCCCUCGAGGCCAGGAAGCGAAUCGAGCAAACCGCGGACGCAGCUCCUUUUGCCGACUUCUUCACCUUCCCUCAGUACUCCACCACCGCCUCCCGGGGAGCAAACAACGGCCCCGCCGGCGAAGAGGCGCAGGAGAACCGGCCGGCUCUGGCCGACAUCGAGGUGACCAUGGUGGAGACCCACGCCAAUCUGAAGGUCCUCUCCAGGCGGCGGCCGAAGCAAUUGCUGAAGAUGGUGGCGGGCCUGCACGACCUCCGGCUGACGAUUCUCCACCUCAACGUCACCACCGUCGCUGAAAUGGCCUUCUGCUCUUUCAGUCUGAAGGUAUAGCAAGUCAGCCACGCGGCACUCUUCCUACAUGGCUUGUUUGCCAUGGAAUUGAACGAACGGUGUGUCAUCGUUUUUGUUCUUCGGUUUGGUGUAGGUGGAAGACGAUUGCCAACUGAGCUCAGUGGAUGACAUAGCAACCGCAGUCCAUGAACUAGUCGGCACGAUUCAAGAGGAAGCCGACCGUGACACCACCACCUUCUGAUCCUGAUCUGAUCACAAAUAUGUAGAUGUAUUAUCCAGCGUUCUUAUAUGCAACUUUUGAAUCUUAUUUUAGCUAAUGGAAAGGCUGUGAUCGCUGUUGGUAUCUGAAUCCUUGAAGAGAAUGUGCGUAUGUGUGUGUGUGUGUUCUUCAGGAAGAGGAUCUCUCAGGCCUUUGGAUGAGAGGUUACGAGAUGAAUUGCCAUGUGAUUUCAACAAAGGGAUGGAUGUUGCAGGAAAAGGAAGAAGAGGACAAAGGGAGACUGCUUCCUCCCAUUCGUGAUGCAGUGACAACAAAAUUUGAUUCAUUGGGGCAUAAGAACUGUAGGACACAUUUACCUGAAAAUUACAUGCCUGGGGACUGAGACAAAGCAAACAUGAUCUCAUGAUCUCCAAAGUCUCACCGUCAAUCCAUGGCUGUCGAUCACGGUAUGGGCCAAAAACAGUGGUCCCCUUUAGAAGUCUCACAUUUAGAUCUAUUGCAUGUAAAAGAAGAUUUAACCAUGCAUCGUAACAUGAUUGUGUACUACUGCUAAAACCAAGGUUCCAAUAUUCUUAACCUGCUCCAGCACCUGGCUUGGAUUUAAAGCAUAAACAACUCUCAGAAAUUAAUCUUUAAAGAAUAUAUUCAGUAAACAGUUGAAUCUGUCUAAAAGGGAAAGAAGAAACUUUUAGUGACUGUAUCCAAACACAAAGCACCAUUAAGAGGGAUCAUCCAACACUUCUUGAGAUGAUGAACCACAAUCACAGACUACUACAUUUUGUUGGCCUUUCCACUGCAGGGUGUGGUGCAAAGAAAAUUUGAUGUAGACUAUUUAUGAUGGAAAGACAAUUGCAUAUUUUAAUAGCAUCCAAAAGAAUUAGUGAUUACCAGCAGCUAACAUGAAGAGUUCACAGUAAAAAUUUCUGUAGCAUGUGAGUCUUUGAGUUGCAGGUGCCAUAACAAUUCUUAAAUUCCCAUAGUUAAUCAGAUGUCCUAGAGUCAAGUUAGCAGAUUGUAAGAAACCCACAAAAGGUGGCCUGGCUUCUCAUAAAAAGAAGCUGAAAACUGUUACCUCAGAUGGAUAAUCCAAGAUCAUGACAACCAAAUACUGGAAAGUAAAAGCCUGCUAGAAGCAAACACUUUGCAGAGUUUUCAGCUAUAAACUUCCACAUUUUGGCACUUGGCACACAUACAUUUGGAGACUUGAUACUGUUAAGCCAACAGGUCCUCGAUUGGUGAAUAUGAUCACCUACACAAUUUGCAAAAUGAUGAUUAGAAGCUCGAAGAAAGAGUAAAUACACAUUGUUUCAGAAGUAAAAGUGAGAAUGAAAGAUAUAGCAAACAGUAAAAAUGCAUAUGACAAUAUGACCAGUACCUAACUAACAUUAUCAACAAUCCUUCUUAUCUGUGCACAGUUGUGAAAGCAAUACGCGUGUUGGUGGUGAAAUGAACCUAGAAAAGCAUGUGAGGGGCCACUGUUAAACACUAGAACCAAAGUAAGUUGACAGACAACAGUACAUUUAUCAUUUAGUUUAUGUAUUUGUAUAGUGCAGCGAAAAGUAAGUCCAACUGCACAUGCAUGCUGUAUGUAGAGAUUAUGGUCCCCUUACAACAGCAGAAGAAAGAGAAACAUGAACAUGUCCAUGACACCUUGGAAAUCAAAUGGAAGCUUCAUAAAUAAGAGAAGUUCAGGAUAGCAAACUAACAAAGUGUCACAGUGGUGACAAUCAAAUUUAUUGCGAAUAGUGGCCAUAAAAAACAUGCAAAAAAGGAAGCACAAUGUGAAAGAGCAUUACAGGCAAUUUCUGGAAUGAGGCCACAUAUCUAUUUCUUUUCCACAAGGAAUCCACAAGAUUUGAAUUCAACACUAUGUACUUAAUUAGCCAUGCCAUAUCUGUGAACAAUCACCUCAGUCAGUGUUUGUGUAAACAGCUUCAAAAUGUCAGAAGAUGACAUCUAGAACCAGAAGGCACUGUGACCAUCCACCAAGGAAAGGUUCUUACCUAGAUGAAACAUAAGUCAAUAAACAUGCCUUUCAGGUGGCAACAGAGGUCAACCAUCCAAAUAAUAUAUAGUGAUCUAAAGUGCCCGAGAAAAGACAAAGACAUGGUUCUUUAUGUUACAAUCAUGCUUAAUUAGCUGCAAAUAUAACAUAAUACAAGAUGAACUGUACUCCCAUAUCUAUACAAGUCUUGGGGCUCAUUACAAUGAAAUUAGACACAUUGCCUUAUCCAUCUGCAACUUGUAUGAAAAGAAUGCUGAUCUAAAAGAUAAAUGAACACUUACAAUCUUCUGCAUUAAAAUCAUUUUAUCUCAUCUACAUGAUCAGAAUUGAAUCACCAAGAAGCUCGCACAUGGGCACGCGACAUGAACACUAUACAAUAUAGACAGAGUGUCAUGACAAAUAUGGUCAACUUGUAUGGACACAAACAUUUGAUAUAUAAAAAUAUUGCAUGUAUAAUUUAGUCGAUUUCUGGUUAUCAUAUUAUAGCUUAUAAUAAUAACAAUCAUUUACAAGUUACUACAAAUUUAUAGCGAUACUAAAUUCAAAUAUAGAGUACAUAUAUAUUGCCAAAAUUUGACACAUCCAGAAGGCUUAUAUAGAUGACGCAAAUGGACCAUAUACCGAUACAUGUAUAAAUGAUAAGUGAACUAUAUGUCUUCAAGUUUCCAAAAUGUCUCCGGAAGUAUUUAACAAAUAUCCACCUAUUACAACAUGAACACAGCAAGCAUUUUGAAGUCUCGGUCCUUCAUAGUUGAAGCAGACUGGUACAGGGUCAGCUAGUUGAAGCAGAUUAUAUAUUUCUAGACUAGUUAAUAUCUUUUGCCUUCAGCCUUUAGAAUGUUGACUUCAAAUGAACUAUCCAAUUGAUCUAGCAAUACUUAUCAUGUAAUUAGAUAAUCUAGAUCAUUGGUAUAAACAUGUUAUUUGCUAAUUAGCUGACUUUACCAUUCAAGUAAAAACCAUUAGUCUCUCUAACAGAAGAUCGUAUUUAAAAGUUAACAUGAAUCAUCAUAGUCAUAAAGAGUUAUUAGUUCAUUUAUAUACCACAAAAGCAUCCUUAUUAAAUAGAUACCUACAUACAGUCAACCAUCAGAACUGUUUGGAGAUUGCCUAGUAAUUGGUCAUUCUUUAAGAUGAUAUCUGAAAAAGCUACUUCAAUAAGUUAAAGUAGUUCAUAAUUCUUAGAAUCUUGCACAAUUUUACAGUGCAUUCAAAGUUUUUAGACCCUGAAAGAUUCUAAAAAUAAUGAAGAUACAAUGAUGUUAAGCAAAUCCUUCGCAUCUUACACUAUGUCGAGGUAUUAAAAACUGGUCAGACCAGUACAUACUGACCAACAUUUACAGGUCCAACCAGGAGCUGGCAUUUUGACCAGGCACUUUCGCUCAGUCCGGAUCGAAUUGUUAUUAUCUUUGAAUCUGGACAGCAUGUCAAUAGUUGUUGACUGCCAGCAGCAGCCUUCUCCUCUCCUCCUCUUCAUCCCCAUCCUCCCCUUCCCAUCCUGUCCUCUUCUUUCUCCUCAUCUUCCUCCCAUCUUUUUUUCCUCUUUCUUUUGGUCUGUGCACAUAUGGCAUAUUUUUUUGCUGCUAUGUGUUGGAACCAGACCAGUCUGGCCAAGGACCAGUACAGAUCUAGACUAAAACUUAAAAUCUUGCACUAUCUUACAAUCCAUUCGAAUACAGAAGUUUUUAAAAUUAACGAAGACAUAAUUUAAACAACAAAUUCACACAGAAACAAAUAGCAACGUACAGAACCUUCGGAAGUGUAUUGAUGUAACAUUCUUGGGAGCAAACCAUAUAUGGAAAACUACUGGUAGAGUGCACUCAUGUCUUUUCAUACAGAUGUAAUUGAUGAUGCAGCAAACUAUGCACGGGUUAAACCACAAUUCUGUUGCAAUAUAGUGACUCUAACAACUCUUCCCUGUUUGCAUAAGACUUUCUAUAUCUACAAGUCAGGAUUUGUACUUCAUAACAGCACAUGUAACUGAAAGGAUAUACCACUGAGUUCUUCAAAAAUACCAUUCCCCUGACAGAGGUCUAUAUUAUUUUUGAACUUCUCCUAGAAAAUUUGUCAGAAACACACAGAACUAUAAGUGUUUUCUGAAGUGCCUCAACCAAAAGGUGUAUUGCACAAAUAUGUUGAGGAACACAUUAACAAUAAAUAGAACAGCAGUUAAUGAAAAGUUGUCAUUGGAAGGGAAAGCCCUAUAAUUCAUAUGAUACAACUAAGUUAUCAGUUUAAUGCUACACAUUGAUAUAAAGACCAAUGAUGAUGCUAAUAUAAGUCAUGCAAUAUGAUGACUGAUGAAACCUCCUACUGCUGUCCAUGUAACAAAGAGGAGAGUUUUCCAGUUCUAAUUGGCAUUAUACUUGUUAAAUAUCGGAAACAGCAAUCUCUACCAAAAGAAAUUUCUUCAUUAAAACAGAAAGAGGCUUUCUAAAUAAUGGGCAUCUGGCAUGGUUAUAUUGAUCAAAAAGAUAAUAAGAAGAUUUCCUUUAGCAAGCCUUGCCUCAUUGGUUUAGCAUUAUGACUUUAGCGACCAUAUAAUAUUUAGUAUAAAAUUAAUGUGAGUAGAGCCACAUAUGAUUGGUUUUUUUGGUCCAAAUUCUGUCAGAGCUAUCAUAUGGUAUUACAUAACUAAUAACAUAAUUUCUUGGUGAUGACUUGUGCCAUGAAAUUAUAAAGGAGGAACAAUUAUGUAGACACACGUCAGGCAUCCAAGAAAACAAAGAAGUAAUGCAAUUUAAUCUGCUAUAAGGCAAUAAGAUCAAUUUGUUCUACAAGUGAUGCUAAUUGUAGUCUCCCUACUCAAAGUUGUACCAGAAGAUUUUUGUUCAACAAAUUAUGAGAAAAUUUGACAUUUCAGACCAGUGUACUCGAAAUUUAUUAGAAAUCUCUUGCUAUUGUUAGGACUCUGAAGUAAGAAUUGCACAUGCUAGUCAUGUUGACCAUCUCAGUGUAUUACUGGCAUAUUGAGAUGGUACUGCAUUGGGGAAUGCCAAGUCAGUGUAUCUUGGUUUAUAAUUAUGAGAUUUUAUGUAACGUUCAAAAUCUUGAUAGCUAUAAGAAUUUAAGUACAACAUCUAUAGGAUGUAGGUAUAACUAGGUUAUAAGUACAAAAUCAAAGAUGUAAAAGCAAAUGCGGCACAUUAGGAGUUCUGCACUAAGAACUUGGUAACAGUAAGGAGCAAGCAUCAUUGACUGAAGUUGGUGGAAGAGAUAACUAUGAGUCACAAAAGCCUAAUAUUGCAUUGAUGAAUCCCAAAAGCCACAUUUGGCAGAGUUCAUUUUCUCAAAUUCAGCAAAUAGUUAAUGAAGUGAAAUUUCAUGAUUCAACCAAGCAAAAGGAUGGAAUAGAUUUUUCUGGCGAGCAAAAUUAUUAGCAUCUCAGGGAUAAGCAACCAGUUCCCAAACAAUUAGAAAUCAUAAAAUAAUAUUUUUCUUUGUUCAAGUGAAACUAUUUCAAGCUAUGAGAAAUACAAAAGACAUCGAAGAAGGACAAUUUGAAAACAUAUGUCAACUCUGCACUGCUAAAGAUUCUCAUGCAAUCAGAGAUAGCAACUGAGCCAGGGCAGGUUUUACUCAGCCCAUCCUUGUCCAGUCACUCAAAGUUCUCAUUCCAUAUUAUCCCGGCUUGACUCAAGUUAAGAAAUAAAAUAUAAUCCUUGAUCCACAUAAAAACCAACGAUAUUGAUUUUGUUUCCUUGGCUUACCCACAUGUGAAUAAAUUAUGAAACUAUAAUAAUUUUAUUACUACAUAUUAUGUAAUAAAAAAUAUUUACAUAAAAUUAUUGGGGAUUGGAUUUUUUUGUGGGAUGGAGCUAGCAAGGAUUGGGUGUAGUGGGUUUGGAGCAAGAUAAGCAUAUUGGGCUUGGACCAACACAAGCAUAAGGUCUUUGUUCCUGUCGCUACCCAAUUUUUGAAAACUACACCCAACACUCGCGUUCCCUGAUUAAAACUGGUUGAACCCAAACUAAUCAGGCCAGAUUGGGCUGGUGCACCAGGGGUCCAGGUUGAAAUUGCAUCCCUAUCCCUAUGUGCAAUUUAGUAGAAUGAAGAGUCCCUCGCUAUGUGCAAUUUAGUAGAAUCAAGAGUCCCCAGAUAAAUAAACAUGAAUUCUGCAUGCACAUUUCAUUCGCAGCUUUCAUCACAAUGCAACUCAUGUAGGCUCUUUCUAGCUUCCAACAUAUCAUGCAUAAGGGUUUUGUUUUGUGUUCUAUUUUGUAAAGGUAAGGUUGUUAUGCAUCAUAUUGGUUGCUAUAUGGCUUUUUCUCACUAUGUAUACUUGUAUAGUAUUAGCAGCACACAAUACCAUGCAUUUGUGCACAUUAAAGCGGAUGCCUGAGAAUUAGCUCAAGUUCCCAGAUUUAGUAAUUGGAGGGAAGUUCUGUAAAAUAAGUUGUAUUCAGCAAAGAGUCACAUGGAUGAAUGAAUAUGUGAAUCUCUUAAACAGAAAAACUAACUAUAUUUCACGUAUCCGAUUAAAGACAGAUAGAUGUAUACUUUCCCAAGUAGUCAACUCUAUAUAGGUAAUUUAAUUUUAUAGUGUCAAUAGAGGGUGGAUCUUCACACAAUAGUAAGGUUGAUCCUUUGUGAUAUGGGAGACCGGAGGUAAGACUUCGUACAUUGACCAUUCCCAAACUCUGCAUUGGAGGGAGCCUGUGGGUACACUUUUUUUUUUCAAUUUUAUAGUGUGGAUCUUACGGUGUGGAUUAUACAUCAUCCAACUAAGAAGAAAAAGUGUUGAUGAUAUAGGCUCUAAAGAUCCCCAUUCUGAGACAUGUAGAGAUACUACAAGUAUAAUCGAAUAAAUAACUUAAUAAAUAAAUCAAUAAAAAGAGAAACAUGUAGUAAGUCAUGUAACAUACCGAGAAUUUUUUUUAUGGUGCAUAUCGAACUGCAUUACCUAAUCCAGCUGUUUAAAUUCAUCAUAAACCAUGGUAGAUGUUAGUUGGAUUAACUAUUAUGCAUGUUAAAAAAGGAGUUGAAAAGUUUCUCAUGAAGUUUCAAGUCAAAAGAAUUACCAAACAAGGAUAAAGGGGGUAAUGGAGAUGGAAAAAGGGGCUGAGAACAAACUUAUUUCAUUGAUCCCCGCCACCUUUAGUUCAAGGGACCAGAUAAUUUCUAAACCUUAUUCAUUGUUAAUAUGUACUCAGGCAAGUAUGAAAUCAGUAACUGGUUAGCAACCUCAUUUAAUUUUCUCACCUGUCAAUGGUUCCACAUGGACACCAUGCAAUACUGGCAAUUGAAAGGCCUUAAUACGUCUACUUCUGUGAAGGGUUUCACAGUGCAUACAAAUUUUGCUAUCAAGGGCAUUCAGUUGCCUUGAAAGCCAACAGAAAUAAAGAACAAGCACAAGAAAAAGCUUUACCAAAUGAGUCUAUCAACCCAUGAAACAAAAGAUAUCAUUAUGCAUUUAGAAAAGGAAGAAAAAAAAAACCAGACAAAUAAGCAAAGGUUGGCUAGAGAAGCAAACCAAAGUUUCCUCCGUGGCCAUCAAUGAUCAAAUAGGAUAUAGAUUAAUCCGAGAAACAAAGAAGUGAUAAUUCAUGCAUCCAACUGAUUUGAUAGCAAAGAUGCACUUAUUUCGAUUACUGCAAACCAAAUCCUUCAAGGAAAGCACCCUUUUUGAAACUCCCUCGUAAUUCAUGAUUAUCUAAACAGAAAUAUGCAGCUCCAGACUUUCCUGAGACUACACAUCCUGUUCAAAAUCCGCAGAUAUCGCGACUCAAACCAAAACAGAGCUCAUAUUACAUAGGCAUGCUAUGGAUUCUGGCAACCCCAUGUCUAGAGAAGAAGAACCCCCUUCCACUGCUUGAUAACGAUCUUUCUAUAUCUGAAUGUUCCUUCCGAACAACGAUCCCUUUGGAGGAACUUCCCUGCUUUACCCCAUUGUUUUGGACAGUGUCUUCCUCAGAGGUCUCAUCUUUCCCUUCCUCAUCAAUCAUGCUUUCUUCUGGCUUGACUCUCACAAUGAUAGAAUUCAUCAGUGGAGUGUCCAUCGAAACUGAUCGCCGAACCUGAUGCAAUCCGAAAUCCCGCUUAUCGUCUUGCGCUAGUGACGCAGAACUCCCAGGCGUCGGAUGGAACGCUUCCGAUGUGUUGAUCGGAAUCCCAAUUGCGAUCAUGCUCUCCGAUGUUUCUCCGUUCUGCUGCUCCUCCGGCGGUUGAAUUCCUAUAUGUGGGUCCUCCGCAGGAGCAGAGAAGACAGAAUCGAAGUCCACUGAACCAGCGGAGGCAGUGACAGAAGGGGCGGGGCCAGCGGCGGGGGCGUUGGCGGGGGGCGAGAGUUCGCCGUUAGGGUCCACGAUGUGAGCCCGGCAAAUGGGGCAAUUGACGUGGGCGCCAAGCCAAGUGUCGAUGCAGGGAACAUGGAACGCGUGCCCGCAUUUAGGGAGUAGACGGACAAGCUCCCCGUCGCGAAACUCGCCGAGGCACACGGAACAAUUGGAGGAGCCGUCGAGGAGGCCGUCGCCGGCCCGAUACUCCGCCACGGCGAUGGAUCCGAUGGUGGCCUCGUCAAGGCCGACGGUCCGGAUGUACCACACGUGGUGGAACGGCUCCCCGUCGUCAAGGGGCGUGUCAUCGUCGUUUCCAUCGGGAUUCGGGUCAACAAAGGAAGCGGAGCGGACGGGGCGGCGGCGGCGACGGAGGACGGCGUAGUAGGUAAGGGAGAGGAGUAAGGCGGCAGUUGCGAUGGCGGCGGGGAUUAAAAGGAAACUGACUAGGUGGCGGCCAUGAUGAUUGUCGACGUGCAGAGGAGGUGCAGAGGGAGAAGGAGGAGGAGAGGGAGGAGGAGUGGCGCGGCCCUCCUUGUCAUAAUUCGAAUGGUCCUUAUCGGAAAGCAUCCGCCGGUAGGGAGUCAUCGAGGGUAGAGCUUACGUGCGAUUUCACGGAGGAUGAUGUGCGGAGAACGGUGUGAUCCGCAUCGCCUGAGCUCCGCCGGAGACACAGAGAAGAGGGGGGCGGGGGUGCGCGGCAACAAAGAAGUCGUCGGUCCACAAGUCAACGAAGUGGAUCCCACAUUUGAAACGUGGCGCAUUAUUCGGUGCUGUGCGACGGUGGUUUACAGACGUGGAGUACGAAACAGCUUUUGUCAAAAAUACUCACAAACCCGUUCAUCAACCCCGUAUCAGAGGUGGACCCCGCCCGACGAUGCCUUGUGGGACCUCUUCGGCUCUCCAGUCAAGUUGCACCAGGUGCAGUCAGACGGGUACGAAAAUGGGAGAAAGUUGGGGCCACGAAAUGUAGACCGCAAUUAGUGGACGAAACUUUGGGCAUUCCUUAUCGACCGCGCAGAGGCUUUAUCUCUCCAUUUCAAGAAUUCCAUCGGGCCGUGCUUCUAUCCAUCACCUACCUGCCUUGUGAUUAAAAUCAACGGUGGAGCCCCCAUGGAAACAUUUACUUUAGACAGGGAAGGUCUAUCUGCCGGACCUCACUGUCGCCUUUGUGUUUGUGGUUAUGCCUGCAAGAGGCAUUUCGAAGAAAAAUCCAAGUUGAGACGGUCAAAGUACAUUGUAUCAUUGGGCAAUUCGAGUGGCCUUUCAAUUCAACCCUUCGUUGAACCCAGGGCAGCACUAACCCUGCAUUGGUGGGAUGUGUUUGACUUUGUGGUAGAUACUUAUAUUCAUGGCCACCCGAGGUAAUCAAUCUAUGGUGACCACCCACCCUGGUAGACCUCGCUUCUCCACCUCAGAUUGUGGUAAGCAAUCUGAUACCGUGAAGCUGUCUGUUUUCAGCAAAUCCUAAAAUAUCAAAGUGAUGAUAAGGGAAGUAGCAAAAUUUCCAAAAUAUCCAUAGGAAGAUCCUUCUCUUUGAGCAUGUGAUUGAAAUGGAUGAACAACAGUGCUUAAUAAAGCUUCCGAUUGUUGAUCAUUGUAUUGUAUAGAAGUUAGCUAUUUAUUUUAUUGGUAAGAGUUUUUCUCUGUGUUUUUUUAGCUUAUUCUUCAAUAGGUACAAAUACUGAAAAUAUAAACCUAGUGCAGACACUUGUAAUUUCAUCAGUUGACAAGUCUACAACAGGUACCAACCAUUUGCUGCAUGAGCUCUCUUUUAUUGUAUUUGUUUUACAUCAAUGAUGAUGCCGGAUAUAGAUAUUUUAAGCAUCAGUUCUCAACCACCAUUCCUGACCAUGGCUUUUCCCUUGUGAAUCUGACAAGUUAGCUGUUCAAUCUGACAUUCAGAAGUAAUUAUUAACAUAUUUAAGUCUAGGCAUGUUUCUAUGUAGGCUUCAGAUAUCAUAAUACAAUUGUCAGAUGUUCAACCAUGUUUUACAUCAUUUGACUAAGCUCAUACAAUUUGUCAGAUUCAUUAUUGCCUGUCCAAGAUGUUCUAUUCUUGCAGCAUUCAAAAGUGAUUCUGGAAGAUGAGCAAAUGUGAUUAUAAAAGAGGGUUGUGUUUGUGUCACACUUUAUUAAUUUAAUCUUUUCAAUCUAGUAGAAUAUCAUACCCUAUGUUUGAAGUUGAAGCAGCUGAAUUGUCCUUAUUUUCUUUCUCUUUUAAACUGAAUAAUUAUUGUGAUUCUGAUGAAAAUGUCAAGUUGUAUGAUGGUUGAAGCAGAGUCCAGUUCCUGCACAUAAUGGCAGGUUAGCUUAUCUCAGAUGAUUGCUCAGUACUAGUAAAGUUGGAGGAUUAAAACUAGAGGCAGAGUCCAACUUAUCUCAAAUUUGGUACCAUGUUUCUUUGAGUUUGGAUGACUCCAUCAAGGGAGUGACAGGAACAUUUGCUUCAAUCAAAUCACAGAACCUAAAUUUUCUACGGAUCAGUCUCUUUGCUAGUUUACACAUGAUCACCAGUGGCAAAUGGAAGUGUUGAUGGAACAAGACUUACCAACAACCUGUUGACUUAAAGAAGGACUGAUGUCAGUCCCUCUCAGCUCCAUUGAUUGGCUACUGGAGAAGAAAUUUUCCAUCCGAAGAGAUGUUGAAGGGACCAAAAAUGAAGUCUCAGAAAGAUCACAGGCUUUUUUGACCCUGCAGAUGAAAGGGUUGGCUUGUUUAUUUGGUCUUCGUUUCUGUUGAAGAAACCUUGUCCUCAGCCAAUUGCAAAACAACACAUCCUUUUGAUGUUAUCUUUAUCCAGUAAUAGAUUAUUGCAGUGAAGAAGUUAAUCCAAGGUUAAGUUCAUUUCUUCUCUUCUGAGCCUUCUCUUGUUAUCAUCUUAUCAGGAACAUGUUGUUUGCAAGGGAAAAAAUGGGGUUAAUUUUCAAUUUACUUGAACAACAGACAUGAGUUCUCUUAUAAGUGAAUUGUUUGAUUGAUUUAAGAUCUCCUGUUGUAGGAAACCUGAAGAAGAAGGGGGCUUUGCAGAUGGAACAGACUGCUGAUAAAGAAGGGAAGGAUGCAGGAAUGGGUGCAUCUACAGUCAAAUUUAAUGAUCUUAUUAUAUAGUAUUAAAACUAGACCCACUAGUGGCACAUCUUAUAUUCAUAUUGAUUGGUGAAGGAUCUAAACAUUUCAACCACAACAUGGAUUUCAUUCUAGUAAAUUAACUCAUCAAUUGACAUUCAUCCUCCUUUUCUUAUAUUUGUCAAUGUCAUAUGGUUCUGGGUGUUCUAUUAGUUUCUCUUGCCAUGGACAUCAAGCUAGAAUGGUUGCUUGGAAUGAUGUAUUUUGUUCACUCUAUUUAUUUCUUUUCGUGUUUUCAUUUAUAUUCUAAAAGAAGCAUUCACAAUUCUCUCCUAUCUACUAGAAAACUAUAAUACUGUGUAUCGACGACUAAUCAGAGCAGACACUGAACGAAGCUCUUGGAAGAUGAGCUUCAUAUCUUCAUCGGCACUAAAGUUAUGCUGCUUCAUAUCUUCUUAAUCCAACACAAGUAAGUGAACAGGGAAAAUUAAGGUUGCAAGCGAUGAAAGUGAGAUAACAGUUGAUCCACUUGUCAGAUGAGAAAAGGGUGCUCAUCAACAAAAAAUAGCAACCCCAAACAAAUUGGAUUCUCGAGAGACCUGCGGAUGACAACGUAAAUCCUCUGACUCUCAGGUGCCGUAGUUUACUUCGAUAGCCUAUCCAUUAUGUACAACAAAGUAGGGGAUUGUGUAUGACGAAAAAUUGGUGUAAUGCAGAGGGAUGAAAAUUAAACAGCAAGUCAAACCCAGCAGUAUGUUUAGAAUCCAUAAGAUCAGCCCACGAGUGAUGGAAAGAACGAGAACUUGACAAGCAGUUCACUGCAUGUAAAAAGUCUUGCUUGUAUUGCCCAUGCUUCUGACAGGGAGAGCUGCAACUUUGUAGAAGUUAUGCGUUGCUUUUUCAAUCUUUUAAAUGAUUCAUUGUUGAUAUCUACUGUUUAUGAACUUUGGUAUAGUGUCAGAAAUAAAUCUACAUCAUCAACAACCUCAUUCAAACCUUCUCGGAAGAGUUCCACGCAUGGCAGAAACAGCUGAAGUCUCCCUGACCUUUUUACCUUGUUCUUCAGUCAACCAGGCCGGCUUCAAGUAAAUCAGAUCGCAUCCAAAACUAAUGCUAUUGCUUUUUCGAACGAUACUUCACAUCAUAGAUUUAGGAUAAGAUAAGAUAUGCCAACAAUAAUGUGUUAGUGAUGAUGAUGAUAGCUAAUAAUAUUUUCCUGUCGAACUCGCUUUCCUAUCGGACUCCUCUCUUUGUCCGCUGUACGGUGCGUGACGUCUUCGUUGCUACACCAGUCGUUGCCGUGACCACACUCGGCAUCGCCAUCAGGUGCGACCACAACAACGAGGGCUUGUUUUGGUACGGCUGGCUGCUCGCCCUUGGUAGUGGUCUGCCUCGUUGUCAACUGUCGAUCCUCAGCUUCUGCUAAGAGCUAAUUGCUACAGAUUUUUCUAUCAAAUUGCUAUAGCUUUCUUCUCUGUUGUAACUUUCUUCUCUAAUGUAACAUCGUUGCAGCUAUCUCCUCUACUGCAGCAUCAUUGCAGCUACCUCCUCUAUUGCAGCAUCGCUACAGCUACCUCCUCUGAUGUAGCAUCAUUGUAGCUACCUCCUCUGUUGCAGCUUCCUCCUUUGCUGUAGCUACCUCCUCUAUUAUAGCUUUCUCUUCUACUGUAGUAUCACCGUAGCAUCGUGCAGCUUUUUUCUCUGUUGUAGCAUCGUUGCAGCUACCUCCUCUACUGUAGCUACCUCCUUUGCUGUAGCAUCGCUGUAGCUAUCUCUCCUCUACUGUAGCAUCAUUGCAGUUACCUCCUUUGCUGCACCUUUCUCCUUUGUUGUAGCAUCACUGUAACUUUCUCCUCUGCUAUAGCAUCGUUGUAGCUAUCUCCUCUAUUGCAUCAUUGCUGUAGCUUUCUCCUCUGCUCUCAGCAGCUACAGCUUUCUCAGUAGCUACAACCGCAGCAGUAGCAACGAUCUACUCUUGUUCUACUCACGAAGCCUCUCGCUCAUAAACUGUUUGCUUUGCAUUGAUCCAAGAUUGGUAUUCUUGAUAGAAAUACCAUCUUACGAAAUAGGGGAAGAAUAGCUUCGAUGUAAAAUAACUUUUUCAAUAAUUCUUCUUGUCUUCUAUUCUUUCCAACAUAUGACACUUCUUUUCGUUCCAAAGGCGGAGGACAACGAUGAUGCACAGCAUAUCAUCUAACACCAAAGCUGCAGGUCAUCGAAGAUAGGAAUCGCGUUAGCUGGCAGCUCAUUCCAAGCCUGGUAAAAUAGAAGUCACCUUGGCGACCAAGUUAUGCUCACACUUUGAUGAAAGGAUUCAUCAAAGGUACAAAAGGACAAAAGGACAAGGGAGAUAGACAUGCCCAUUAAUCCCCAGUAUGUUAAAGGAGACUGCAGAUAUGUAUGAUCAUAAGCGAGCAAAUGAACGCCCAUUCCGUGGAGUCGGUGGCUGUAAGCAAUCCUAAUCCCCGUUGUGUGCCUCGACAGAGUCAACUUUUCUCGGUGGGAGGCGGCUGUGAGAAGGUUUUACCCGUCUGCAGAUGUUGAUAGAUCUCUUGUCGGGGACACGAGCAGGAAGGAAUGAUAUCUUAAUAAAUGAUAUCAUCUUAAUUUCACAUGCUAAGAUAAGGAUGUAUACCAAUAAAAUUUUGACCGAUGACCAAUGCAUGUUUCAUGACAUAAAAGAGUCACCCACUUGCUUGGCACGAAGGUAUUCUCCAGCCUUAGAAAAGUUCUAAAGCUAAGAGUAAUAUUUGAGAGGGUCCACUCACAUGCAGCCUAACCACGCCCUCAAAGAUAUUUAUUUAUAUGGGACCCUAAUCCUCCAUUAUCUGGUGUGCAAGCUGCAUAUCUUUUCUCAUCUCACAACCUUAUCUCUAGAACAAAGCUUGAAAUGGCCAGGCGCAGUUCCGUAGCUUCGGGUGCCCUCCUGCUCCUUUGUUGUGCGACGUGGGUCUCGGCCACCGAUUACUCCGUCGGCGAUUCCUCCGGUUGGAAGCUCGACUUCGAUUACACUACAUGGACUAGCGGCAAAUCCUUCGUCGUCGGCGACAAUCUUGGUUAGUUCUUCGACGCACCAUGAUCGGCGUUCUCCUUAGUUUGUAAGCAGCUUCCAACUUCUGAUCGAAUCCACGUUUUGGCCACUGCAGUCUUCAAAUACGCCGCCUCGCAGCACAACGUCGAGAAGGUGAACGCCGCUGCCUACAACGCCUGCUCGAGCAGCAGCCCCAUUAGCAGCGACAACAGCGGCAAAACGACGAUCAACCUGGACACCUCCGGCAAGCACUAUUUCAUCUGCGGGAUAUCCAACCACUGCACCCAAGGCAUGAAGCUGGAGGUCGACGUCGCAGAGUCAUCCCCCACCUCACCCUCACCUCCAUCCAGCUCCACCACCAACACCACCAACAACAACAAUUCCGGCGCCGGGAGCCUCUCGCCGGUGCACGCCACGGUCGCCUUCAUGGGGCUGGUGGUGCUCAAGCUCGGCGUCUUCUAGGCUUGGCCAGGAAAGAGACAGUGCUGUAACUACUACUCCAUUGCGUCGUUUCUUCCGUAUUCAUCACUCGUUGCAUUAGAGAAUAAGAGAGUGUUUUUUCUAUAUGGUGAUUGUUGAUGCUUCUUUUGAUUUAUUUGGAGUGGCAGUGACUUUUCUUUUAUAUGGGAAUGAUGAUUUCAAAUGAUAAUAUGAUUUUUGUAGUCAUCAUUAUACUUCUUUGGUUCUCUAAUUUGUCGAUAAUAUCACUGUUGGGAUGAAAGGGGGUGGAUUGAACUCCUACAAAACUUAAAUCAGGUGCAUAUCCGAUAAGAUUAUUUGACCCUCAAGUUAGAAUGUAUUUAAAUUCAAAGACUAUAGCUUGACUACGUCAAAGUCUCAUGGAAUCUUCUUUCCUUUUCUUCUGUAUUUUACAUCUCUCUGUAUCUACGCAAUCACAUGGCCGCAUCCACACAGAUAGAUUAAUGUUGUUCACACCAUUUCUUGAAAGAAAUGUUUUUGAGUCAAUGGCAUUGGGUUCUCACAACAUGCUCCCUCUUUCCAACGUCAAGCCAAGUCCAUCUUCUUCUACAGUUUGACUCCUUUCCUGGAGUUUUACUCGAUCAGUCGAUCACAACCUCUCAUCUCAAUGAUUGAAUUAUUAGUGAAGUACAUACGGUAGAGGAUCAUCUUCGAUGAUUAUGAUAUCUUAUAAUAGUUUCAUAUAUAUAUAUACAUAUAUACACUAAUUAGCACAUCCACAUUAUCAAUUAUACAUUAUUUGUAUACUAAGUAUACAAGCUAUAAAAAUUAUACUUAUCUACGUAAUAGUUACCCCCUCUUUUAACGUACCAUGAUUUGACGCAGCGUUUCAAGAGUGGGUCCCACAAUAAGACACACAGAUGAGUGUACCGAGUCACUGUGUGCCUUACAAGUGAGUGGGAAAAGAAUUGAACGCGGACAUACUUGAAAAUAUUAUUCAGUUAGGUAUUUACUCCCACGGGAUCGCGCAAGCGCCAUGCGUAUAUGCUACACGAAUACUACAAUGGUUUACCCGUUCUCUUAUACGGUAUGUCAUUGGAUGAAGAGUGGGCUCCAUCGUUGUUUAGAAUCCGUUAGGAAUUAGGGUACAGGAGAUUCGACGUCGAUGGUCACGUCGCUGCUAACGUAGCUAAUAUUCGUUGUUCCGCGGUAGCCGUUAUCCGCUCAACCGCCGGUGGCGCUGGUUACAUACCAACGACUGGCUGACCGCUGCGCUCUUAGCCUGAGGGCCGGAACUCCUCCUCUCGCUAAUACCGGCGUUUCGGCUGACCCUCGGCCAAUCUCUCCCUUCUCUCCAAGCCGCCGAGCCUUGCGGAGAUGGAGCCCAUGGCCUCCCCGCUCGCUGCCCGCCCCUCCGCCUUGCUCCGCCGCCGGCCCAUCCCCGCCCUUUCCCGCCGCCGCCUCAUCUCUGCCACCCCCCUCCGCCCUCCUCCUCAGCCCUCCGCGGCGUACCCUCCCUCCAUCCGCCACCGCCGCCGUCGCCGCCCGAAACCCUCACUUUUCCCCGCCCGCUCCUCCUCGUCCCAAUCCGAUUCUCCAAAUCCCGCCUCCUCUCCUCUUCCGCUGCCGCCUCCGCGUGAGGGCGCGAAGCUUAUCCCCCUGGCAAUCUCCCUCGCCGUCGGUCUAGCCAUCUGGUUCCUCGUCCCCACACCCGCCGAGGUCACCCCGCAAGCGUGGCAGCUCCUCGCCAUCUUCCUCUCCACCAUCACCGGUUUCAUUCUCGGCCCGCUCCCAAUCGCGGCUUGGGCCUUCCUGGGCCUUACCGCCUCUGUCGCCACCAAGACCCUUACCUUCUCCGCAGCAUUCGAUGCGUUCGAGAACGAGGUGAUCUGGUUAAUCGUGAUAUCCUUCUUUUUCGCCAGGGGCUUCGUGAAGACUGGGCUCGGGGAUAGGAUUGCCACCUUCUUCGUGAAGUGGCUCGGGAAGAGCACACUGGGGCUUUCGUAUGGGCUCACCUUCAGUGAGGCUUUUAUCGCCCCUGCAAUGCCCAGCACCACCGCAAGGGCCGGUGGGGUGUUCUUGCCAAUCAUCCAAUCGCUGUCUCUCUCCGCCGGGAGUGAGCCAGGAGAUCGGUCGGCCGGUAGACUUGGAUCCUAUCUGGUUAUGUCCCAGUUCCAGGUUUGAUCCUCUUAUUCCUUUUUGCCUGGCUUUGUUUUCUGAUUCAUGUCACCUCUUUUGACUUGAGCACAAAAAGAUAACCUUUUUUUCCAUUUAUUUUUCUAUAAAUCUUUCUGAUACCUAUUGUUCACAUUAGCAAUAUACAAAAUUUUCUCUUCGUUAAUAAGAGAAUACAUUUGGCUUCCUCCUCCUCCUCCUCCCACAGGAGAAUGCUGAACUCUUAUCCUCCAGGUUCUAUGUUGUUUGUCAAAAACUCAAUGAAAGAUCCCCUUUUGAAUUUGAUAACAACUGAUAAGCCAUAGGUUGAUAACAAUGGCAAGCCAUAGGUUCUAACUCUUGCAGUUGGCUAUAUGCAUCCUUUAAAAUGUUAAUGGGCUCUAUCGAGAACAAUAUCACUACUAAAGUAAGAGCCAACCAAGUGCCUUGGUUCUUUCUAAUAGUCUUAUUGAGUCUUCCUCUUAUCUCUUCUGGCACCAUAUAUAUUUGACAGCUAACUUGCCCUACUUUGAUGCAUUUAUAGAUCUUUGGACAUGUCAAAGUCAACUUAGAUUGGUUCUCAUGAAUUAACAUUGAUUCAUGCUGUCCUUAUCUGUUUAGAAAUGCAAACAUUUUUAUUCUAUAUUUUUUCAACUCACACAUCGAUAUUAAUAUCCCCUAAUCAAUGAGUGUUUACUCUUUUGGUUUUGAUUGCCCAAUGGCACUAAUAUAUUAUCGCAUGCUUUACAAGUAUCGUAAAACUUUUUCUUGUAAUCUAUAGGUUACAACCAUCAAACAACAUUUGUGAUAUGCCUCUCUACGUCGACCAUUUCUAAUCCUGCAAACAAUCCCUUUAAUCUAUCCUUCCUCUUAAAUAAUUAAUCUAUAUAAAAAACUUUGGUGUUGAUAAUGUCUGUCUUCUGUUUGUCAUUUUUUGAACUCUUCUACUGCUACUACUAAAGUGGCAUUUCUUGUAUUUGGCCUUACUGUUAAAAUGUCUAACAGCCUUGGUUGCUAAAUCUAUAAAUAUGAUCAUAUUCAAUUUUCAGGAUCUUACUGACGAAUAGAGGAAUAUUUUGAAUUUCAUUUGUACAUUGUGUGUGAAAGUAUACACCUAAUUAUCAGUGAAUGAUGACAUUUUUUCAUUUUAUUGUAACUCUGCAGUGCCAUUUAAGCUGUACUAACUUUCGUAGAUGUUAACUUCUUCAUUGUUCAGCACUAAAAAAAUCUUAAAACAUGGUUGACCUUGUAAGUUAUAACACAUCUUGCAAAAUAUUAGUUUUGACAAAAGGGACUCACGGUAAUCACACAAAAAUAUUGACAUCUCUCUUCACUUUAAUAACCAUCCAACUUUUGUUCUGUAAAUAAUAUCUUCAUCAAUUUCUUCUAAAUGCUGAAUAAUAGGCCCCAUAUACUUCAAAUGUGCUUUAUUUUCUCUUCACAAUAUCAUUAAAUAUCACAAUGCUUAAUUUUAUACAGUUCAUCACUUGAUUGAUUUUCCAACUAAAAUAUUUUGAUGACGUAGGAUAUAACUUUUCAAUUCUAUGCAUUUUCUUAAAAAUUCAUGUUAUAAAUAACUACUGGUUAGUGUUUCAUAUAGUUGAGAAAGUUUAGUUUGGCAGCACGAUAAUCAUUGAAAUCCCAGAGCAUGUAGUUUAAGUUGAAGUUGCAUGAAAUAUGUUUAUUAUUCAUGCUUCCUUGUCUCCUUUUCAAAAAAUUGAUAAUUCUUAAAAGCUUCAUAUACUUGAAUCAUUCUGUUCUGGUUCUUUAUCUUCAUUUUGUGCUGAGACUGAAGACAUUCAUUUUUUGUUUCUCUCUGACUCAUUUCAGUCUUCCAGUAAUUCAAGCGCACUUUUCCUAACUGCUGCAGCUCAAAAUCUGUUAUGCCUUAAAUUAGCCGAGGAACUAGGGAUCCAUAUUGCAAGUCCAUGGUUGUCAUGGUUUGAGGCUGCAAGUUUACCUGCCAUAGCCUCUCUUCUGGUUACUCCAUAUAUUUUGUAUAAGAUCUUCCCUCCAGAAAUUAAGGAUACACCAGAUGCACCUGCUAUAGCAACAAAGAGACUGGAAGAAAUGGGACCUGCGACAAGGAAUGAGUGGGUGAUGAUCUGUACAAUGGUCUUUGCAGUUUCCUUAUGGGUCUUUGGGUAAGUAAUUUGAGUUUUUUGUUUUAUUGACGUACUUUGUCACAGUGCAUUGAAUAUAUUAGUUCAAUCUAGAACAUUAUAUCUCUUAUUUAGGAUCAGAUAUUAUUAAUACACAAUUUCAAUUUCUCCAUGCAUCAUCAGCUAAAGUUGACUACAACCUUGUUGAUUGGCUGAGAAUCUGAGGGAACAAUCUAAAUGUCCAAUGUUUUUACUAUACAUACUGUAGUGUAUCACAGCAAUAUUAGCCAUAGUCUGGACUGUUGCUUUCCAAAAUGCCCUUUUACAAAUACUAAUCACCUCACUAAUCAAUGAAACAAAUGAUUUCUGAUUACAAAACUAGAUAUCUGUAUUUGACCUGGUAAUGUUAUCGAUUUUACAGUAUGUAGCAUAUCUUUUUCAUGGGUAACGAAAAGGAAUUUAUAUACAUUAUGGCAUACAAACCUCAUUUCUAUGUUUUAGUGUCGUCAACCAAUCCAUUUCUAAUAUGUUAGAACAUAGAAUCCUCAUUUCAAUUUUUAACUUUUGCCAUCUGAUCCAGCUCUUUGUUAUUAGUGAUGUAUUUUUUAGAUCAUUAAGUACCAUAUGAGACUGAGUUUUCCGGCCUUUACAUCCUGAAAGCUUUUCUGAAGUUCAGCAGUUUUGAUUUGAGUCAUCAGUCAAAUCAGAAGCAUGUUUUUUCUGUUACAACUGCCUGCAUUUCAUAUGAUUCAAUAUUAUCAGAAAAAAUAAAAUAUCAUCACUUGUUCUUAGAUACUGUGGCUCUGUUUGCAGAUUGCCAGUUAGGAGUUUCAUUAAUAGAUUUGUAAACACUGUACUAGCCAGUUGACUUAAAUGUGACCACUGACGUCUGGGUGAGUGCUUGCAUGUGUCUGAGUGUUAUAUAUCCAUUUAACAAAAGCAUCUAGGCCUUCUUAUUCUUUUUCUAAACUUAUGAUGGACCACUUGAAUUUAAAAUCAGCAUAUGUUGAAUAUGAUCUUUUGUACUUGAAGUGCCAGUACCAAAAGUUUAAUUCCUUCCAAUAUGCCAACAGUAUUAUUUACCUGUUCAUUGUAUUUCCACUUGAUUUUAUUUGAAACUAUUAAGGGUCACAUACUUUAAUCCAUUCUAGCUCAAUUUUAUGUGAUGUGUUGAUAACUAGCUGAAAUGUUUUCACCAGUUUUUGUAGAUUCAACAAUGAAGACUCAAAUUUGAGUAUAUUGGAUCAGAAAAAUGAAAAUGAAAAUAGGUAGUCAAGCUGAUAUCAUUAUCUGUAUAAUUUGUAUGAUUUAACAUUAAAAUGGCCAAAGAAAGGGGAUCGGCUGGAUUUUAUUGGAACUCUAUAGAUGAGUUCAAUCAGUUUUGCAGUUCUGAUUGAUCCUUGCUGAUUUCUGCAAAGUGUGUUUGAAACUUGGCUUUUCUUUUUUUUCCUAUCAAUUCCAAACAAAUCAUAUUGGUCAUUUGGUUUGAUACAAUCCACAUAGCCUAUUACAAACUUGAUCCUAAUCUUGGGAACCUUACUUGAAAUAACACUGUUUGAAGAUUCGGUUUUGGUUAUACUUCAGUUGCCGCUAGAAAAGUAUGCUUCAAUGUUUUUGAAAAUUUUGGGUUUUUUAAAUGCCAUAUUAAGAUAUUCACAAAAUUUGAAAAGGAAAUAAUUAAGAUAAAAAAAGAAAAUAAUAAAAGAUGUACUGAAUCAUGAGGUUCCUCAUCCAGAUCUAAGAAACAAUGGAAAUGAACAUAGGAAUCUAAGCUUCACCCUGAAUUCAAAGGAAGUUCCCAUAAGAUCUUCAUUUCAGAGGAGUGAGAACUAUGCAAGAUGAUUUUUUUGAUAAAUCCCCCUUAUCUUGUUGGUUUCUUAUAGAGAAAAGGUUAGCAGAAUGAGCUUUUCAAUAGGAGUGAGGUUUGGGAGGUUUGGCACAUGAAGAAGCUAUGCACUAGGCCUUAAAACAGAUUACUCUAUCGAGAUCAACUUUAGGCUAAUUCAACUGAAAAACAAUGAUUCUUGGAAACUUUGAAGAAUAUAUUAGACUGUCCUUAUUCUGCGGUGUGGACUGUAUUGAAAUCAUUUUGAUUUUUCGUUUGGAACUGGUAAACUGAAAAGGAUUAAUUUUGAUCAGAAACAUAAGCCAUGUUCAAUAAGGAUGGGAUCGUAAAUCAUUAUUCCAAGUAAAAAUAUGAUAAGAUUGUAAAAUUUAAGCAAAAUAGGAGAAGGUGAAAAAAUAUAUUACAGAAUUAACCAGAAAUUCUCCAUUCACUCUCUUGGGAAUGGCCUUACAGCUGCAUUUAUAUUCCAUGAUAAUUUAAUUACUGAAAAAUGUACCUUUGGAAUAAAUUGACAACUAAAUUAACUGUAACCUUCACACCAGGUCUGAUAUCAUGUAAAAAUAUAAUAACAAUUAUAUCUAUUGUCACUCUAUGAUACUGUUGUAACAGAGUAAUAAUAGAAAACUUUUUUUUUAUUUCAUCUUGAGAUCAACCACACUUUAUUAUUAUUAUUUUUUGGGCUUUUAACAUUCUGUAUAGAUAAUAUGGUAAGUAGAUACCCCACUGUAAUCGCUAGGACAUGAAAUGUGGAAGAAAUAUAAUUAAGCUGUAGGCUGAAUAAUCCUUUUCCUGCCUUUUUCAACUCAUGACUCAUCUCUUUAUUAAGUGUCCUCUAAAGAUUGAAAAAGGUAGCUGCCAAUUUUUUCAGUUAUUUUCUCUUUUCCAUUCCUUAAAAACUAGCUAGAUGUCAUUUUAGAAUCAUUUAUGACUUCCAAAUAUACUAUAACAAGUCCCUAAUUUUGACUAUAAAGUUAGAGUGGAAGUUGGAAAUAGAAAAUUAGAAAUGCUGGAUGCAGACCUGUGCAACUCAACCUACCCUCUGGUACAGAUAACCUAAACUGCACAAAUAAUGCAUUAAAUAAUUAUCUAAACCGAGACCAAGAUAUACUCAAACUAAACCUCAGAAAAUUCUUGAUCAGAAACGGAGGGAGAAAUCUUGGAAGGAUCAGUGGUUGCUGGGCAGGUUAGCUAACAAAUGGAAACUUGUCUCUAGUAUGCAAAAGUCUUUUUCCUUCAUUUCUAGUAGACAUUAGAAUGCAUUUUAACUUAAUGCUUUCAUAAUCAUAUGAAAUUAUGAUGCUCCGCACAUUGAGUGGCCCUUCUAGUGCUGACAGCUUAUUUUUUAUUAAUAAUGUAUAAGAUGAUUAACCAAAGCAAUUUCCAGAGACAAAGAAGAUUUAUUUUUCUUGCAUCAUGCCAUGUCAUUUGACAUUACCCACAUUACUAUUAUGCUGCUCUAUUAAGAAGGUCUCACUGGUCAACUAGACAAAAAAGUCUGUUCUGUUGUUUGUUUCAUAAAUAAAUUAACCAACAAAACUCGGCUUCCCUGACUGUAUAUUUUAUAGAUCCAUUGCUAACGGAAAACUUCAAUGCUUACAAGGAAUUGUUUGUUUCAUAGAGAUGCUCUUGGCAUAUCAAGUGUUGUUGCAGCAAUGCUUGGCCUAUCCAUCCUUCUACUUUUUGGUGUUCUGAAUUGGGAUGAUUGUCUUAGUGAGAAGUCUGCAUGGGAUACCUUGGCUUGGUUUGCAGUACUGGUUGGAAUGGCUGAACAGCUUACAAAUCUUGGAAUUGUGACAUGGAUGUCAAAUUGUGUUGCGGAGUCUCUCCAGCAUUUCUCACUGAGCUGGCCUGCCGCCUUCUGCAUUCUUCAGGCAUCUUAUUUCUUCAUUCACUACCUAUUUGCAAGUCAGACUGCACAUGUUGGAGCCUUGUAUUCAGCAUUUCUUGCCAUGCACUUGGCAGCUGGUGUUCCUAGUGUAUUGGCAACACUUGCAUUGGCAUACAACACAAAUCUUUUUGGUGCAUUAACACAUUAUAGCAGUGGUCAGGCUGCUGUAUAUUUUGGAGGUACUGCAAAUUUCUACAGACUGAUAACGAAAACUCAAAAAAGAAUGGAUCCAUUAUGACUCAUAUAAUGUCACAUUAUGACUGAUAGAAUGGCACAUCUGGUGUUGUAAUAGACCGUAAGGGUUAUAACAGAAACUAGGGUAAUGAAGACUUAUUGUCCUAACAUUGCUACACAGUUAAAAGAACAUUAAAUUUAAAUUAAGCAACAUGUUACUGUGGUUCCCUUUAAAAAGAAAGAACAUGCUACUGUUGUUCCAAUUUCAAAACAUUUUAUGUUUCUAUAUUAUACUCCAAACUCCAAAGGAGAAGAAAACUUGUUAACUUUUAUAGAAGCACGAGUUAUAUAAUGACUGUAAAAUGUUCAGCCAUUAAAUUUUGUCUACAAAAAUUUAGUCAGUUGGAGAAAUGUGGAAAGUAAUGUCUUCUUUAAUGAGAGUGCUUGGAAGUGUACUGGAAGAACUCUCAGAAUUUUAAAUUUGAGUUCCUGAACAAGACUCUAUGAUAAGUGCUCUAUGUCAGACACGUUGAUUACAUCUCACAGAAAAUAUUUUCAGGUAUUAAUAAUGUUAGAAAUAGUUUGGGUAACUCUAAUGUUUUUCCCCUUUUCCUGCAGUGGGUUACUUGGACCUUCCUGAUAUAUUUAGGCUGGGCUUUAUAACAGCUUUGAUCAAUGCUUUAAUAUGGGCUUCUGUUGGUACCUUUUGGUGGAAAUUUCUAGGGCUGUAUUGAAGCUGAUGGUGGUGUAAGUUGAGAGAAGUCUUCCAUUAAUGAUACUUAAAGAUCCUCAAGCUUAUUCUGGAACCAUUCUUAAUUUCCUAGUUUCUGCUAAAGGUAGAACUCUGAAUUUCAUGCAUCUUUUUAGGUUAAACACUCUUUUCCCCUCCUAUUUAUGUUCCAAAUUGUUGCUGAUGCAUUUAAAUCAGCUAUAUCCAUGUUGAAACAGUUACUGUUAAGAGUACAAAUUAGCCAAAAUACUUUGAGGUAUUGUUGGAUUGCUUCAACAUUUCAGUGAAUAUAGGAUAACACACAUUUUUAAAGAAGCUAACCAUGUCGUGCAUUGGUUAGCAAAUUUUGGAAGGGUGAACCAUUGUAAUGAAUUCUGGUACGAUGUGUUUUCUCGGGACUUGGAGGUUAUGAUCUCCUCUGAUAACAGAGAAGAUAGGUCUUCGCUUUAUUGCUAAAUAAAAGUUAAUUUUCUGUUGUGCAAAAACAAAGAGAGUACAAAUUAGCAACUGUAAAAUCAAAUGGAUUGUUGGCAAUGUGACAUCUAGCCUCUUUUAUUAUAUGCUGCCUGAACUGGGUUUAGACCUUUAUGUACUUUGUCUUUUUCUCUGAUUUCUUCGUGAUGGAGAAUAUAUGGCCUUUAAACCACAGGAACUAUCAACGAUUGUUAACAAGUAUGUAUAAUCUGCUUGUUUAUGUGUUCUGUUUUGAUAAGCCUAUGGCUACUCAUGAUACCAUUUAGUUGAAGAUAGACAACGUAGUCUGGAAAUAUGUCUACUGCUAUAUGGCUCUUUGGAAAGAUAUUCGAGAACAUUAGGUAUGAAAUUCAUGAUACCUAGGAUCAUUAUAGAAUGUACUAUACCUACUAAAUUUAGGUAAAAUGUGCAAUUUCAUUGAUUUUUUUAGGUGAUGGUGCUUUACUAAAUGCAAAAGAUGUGAACUUAUUUUUUGUUUAAAACAUUGCCAGCUACCAUCAAGAUAUUUCUGUUUAAUUAUGUUCCCAUAUCUAGUCAAUCAUGAAGAGUUUUGUUUACUCUAUGAAUACCACUGUAGCAUGCUUUAUCAGCAUAUCAGCUCUGAGCCUUUUGACUGAAUUAUCAAUUUUUUUCAGAAGACUUUCAGAUGAAUUACAGAUGCAGUUACAAGUUUACAAAUUCUUGGGAUGCAGCUAAUGUUUCCAUCUAAGAUUAAGGGGAAAUGUAUUUUUACCCUGUAUCUUAAAGCAGGUGCUUUAAAUGUCAUACAUAAAAAAAUUCACAUGGUCGAUUCUCCUAUUUGUUCAUCAUGAUAAAUUGGAUUCGUCCAUUGAGUUAAAGAACAAAUCCACCAGCAGACACUGGAAGAUAGAUCUGUGCUGUUUUUAUUUUGGUAUGUGCUGUUUUUAUUUUGGUACUUUUAUCUUUGUGCAAUAUCUGACAGAAACCUGGCAUUUUAUAACAUCAUGGUUUCAGUUUGUUAUUCAAGUUCUUUUUUUCCCCAUUUUCCUUUAUUUUUAGCUUUGUUAUCCCUGAUAUAACAUCCACUAUACAGUUUAUGACUUGUAAUUUUGCCACCAAUAUCAUAUUGAAAUUAUCUGACGAAAAUUGUGGUCACUGAAGAUUUUUCUCAUAUCAACUUUCUCUGCAUGUAACUAUCAUGGCAGCUAAAAUUCCAUCAGGAAACUUGGAAGUUUGAAAACAAUUAGUUUUGUUGUGUAUCUGACUUCUUACAUGGCACAACUUUUAGAUAUCAGUGGAUUGAUUAUGGCAUUCUGUCUUAGAUGUCCUGUGGCAAACAUUUUCAUUACAGAACAUAAACUUGCAUCUUUAUUUUAUGGUACCAAUCUUCUUAUUCUGUUUUUUUCUUCCUCCUCUUCUUUGUCAAGAUCUGCAGCUGCUCUCUUGCUCCAUUACGCAUACAAAUUUGAUUUGUCGAGUAGGCAGUUAUAUAUUAACUUAAUUCCAUUGUUUACUCUUUUGUUUCUGGACAGGCAUAUCUGACAACAAAAAAAGGUUGAUAGGAUAAGAUCUUGAAACUGAAAGAAUACAUUAUGAAUAGCUUGGAAUAGAUGCAUAUGGCUUUGACUUGUUUGAGUUUUGUGGUACUUGGAACCAAUAUUGAGCACACACUGGGCUCGGUGCACAAGAUUUAAUACACAGAUUCACUGAAACAUCUCCAGUCAUCAGGUCAUGAGUUUCCCAAGCUAUUUUACUCAGCUUUAGCAAUUCCUGAUUCUUCAUAACUUUUGUUGGUAUUGUGGCUAAUCAAGGGGUAUUUUGCAUGCCUUUUACUUGCAACUUAUCAUGGAACUUCCCAACUAUUAAGAAACCUCAUCAGUUAUGAUGAUGAUGAUGAUGAUGAUGAGCAUAGUACAAAAUUAAAACCUAAUGUAGUAAAUUUAUGCUGCCACAUCCCUUUUGUCCCCAUGUUCUGACCAAUCCCCAUAUCCCUUAGCUUUGGAGGACAAGAAACUGAGUCUAUACAUGUGGAAUCAAUCUUUAGAUGUAGAUUUAGAUUUGAUUUGGAGUGAAAUUAAUGUUGAAAAUUGCAAUUGGUUUGGUUUGAUUAGAUCAUAAAAAAUAAUGCAAUUUUCAGGACAUCUUCUGGAUCUAAAAUUGACAUCUAUCAUGACACAAUAAAAAAUGGUGAAGUUGUAUUCAUCUCCAAAAUAAUGUUAUGAGUUGCAGAGUGUUUUAAAACAUUAUACAAACUGUUAUUGUUAAAAUAAUACAUCAAAAUGGGUUUGCCUUGUUGCCUUGACAAAUAUUUCCACUCAGAGCAUCAUGCCAAAUAAAAAUGAAGCAUAUCUCUUACUGCGGCAGUUUCUUCUUUUAUCCCCUAAAAGAGAAUAAGAACUAAGUUGUUCUUUCAAGUUGAAAUUAUAACAGACACUGUAGUACAAAAAAGAUUGGAACGUUGGAAUUUCUCUCCAUAGAAUCAGAUUUACAAGUUUUGGCAAUCUUAAGUUAGUCAUUGGUCAUCAUGUUUCUUUUUCUAUGUACAUCAUAAUUCAUAAAAUAAAAAAAGGGUAAGAAAUCAGGAAUAUGCAGAACUUCAAGUCAUUUUGAGGAGGUAUAUCCUUUUACCUUGUUAUCAUUUUGAGCUUUGUAAAUCAAUGAAGGAGAACGAACAACAAACACUGGAUGGAUAUAUUCAACAAGUCAUCUUCUUCUUCUGCCAAUCAGCAGCAGAAGAUCAAACUUGAACGAAGAAAAGCAGCAGCAGAUCUGCUUUCAGUGGUAGCCUUUUCUGUGGUUUUCAGCACCUACGCACUUUGGCAUUUACUUUAUGUGACCACGACACUGGGUUUGUGCUGAAAGGGGGAAAGGAAGAGAUAAUUCCAAGUCGCUCCCCAUCUUUUCAGGCUUCCUGGCCACAUGACACCACCACGCAGAACAAAUAGCUCCCACCUUUUCCUUUCCCCCACUCUGCCUCAGCUUUUGCUUUUCUGCGUGCAGGAUUCCAUUAGGUGGAGUGCUUCCAUGGGCUCUACCAGGAGACGAGGAGAAAAUACCAAGCCGUCGCUCUCCCACACCUGUAGUUGACAGGGGACGCCCUCGGUGGCUGCCUUUUGGUCUGUAGUUCCAAGUGCUGGGUUGCAAUCCAUGGCUUGUGUGCAGUGAGAGGACAUCUCGUUCUGCGCUGUGACCUUUGCUUGGAUUCCCUGCCAGCUCGGGUUGUGUAGGCCAGCAAAGGGAGGUGCAUCUUCCUUUCAUGUGGAGCGUCAUGUCCUCCUCCCCAGGCCGGAAGGAGAUUUUUGGAGGGAUUUGGCAUCCUAACUCAUGCAGGUUCUGAACAUGACCUCCCAUUUCCACGCUCGAGCUUUUGCAGCGCUUCAUGUUGUUUGUGAAGCUAACAAGAGAUUUGAAAGCCAAAGCAUCCUUCACCAGUUGAUCGUCAAAUCUUCUCCAGACCUGCAGUUUCUGCUUUACGGUCUUCUCUAUUCCGUCCCACAGAAACAAUUUUGCUAGCAAGUAUGAUGCAGCCGGUACACGUACUGUCGAAUGACGACUCAUUCCGAACAUAAUAAUCAUCGACUCACAGUUGGUUGAAGUCAGCGUACCUUGUCGUAAGCCAGAAUUUGGAACAAGAACAUGGAAGGAUGAUGUUGCGACUGGCUAAGGUUUCUGCAGGACAUAAUGGAUGUAUAACUCUGGCUACCACUAGAGCUCCAAUUGCAGCUCAUGAUUUUUGCACCGCAAGUCUGCAAAACAAGAACGAGUUGAUGUCAGUGGUCCACACGAUCAUGAAGCAGACACUUUGUAAAGUAAGCAGAGAACAGCUCAGGAGACCUGUUGACAUACUUGGUUCUUGUUUUGCAGGAUGCAAGAGCUUUUUGAGGGGAAAUAUCAACGUCUUGAGAAUGCAAGAGAUUAAAGUUCUUUAUCGGAAAGAAAGUAAGAGAUGGAGUGAGAGAGAAGACCUCGUAAAGUUAAAGGGAAUCCCUCACCUACAUAUCAGUGUAAGAAGACUUUAAACUCCACUGGUGAGUGAAACUUUAUUAUGGUUCUUUUUGUAGCUUGCCUUCCUCUUUGUUGCUCUUUCUCUUUGCACUCUUUUUACUGCCACCACAUUACUUGGCAAAAAGAUACAUUCGGAAUCAAUCUCGUAAACUACUGUGCCUUUUUUAUCAGCACCUUCUAAUUACACCUUCCUUGUGAAUUGCAAUAGAUGCUGAAGCAUUUAUCCCCCCUCAAAAGCAGUAAAUCUUAUAUAGCCAGAGCAGAUUGGCCUUUUUUUCAUUCCAUAUUCAUGCCACAAUUGCUUGAUUUAGACCAACAAAUCAUUGCACUGCAGUAGAACUUUUUUAUAUUUGUUCAGAUAAACCUGCUUUUGUAGUCAGUUGCUAAUGAUUCGGUAGUGGAUCCCAAAUCAUAGGAAGUCAUGUUAGUUGCUGCCUGUGACAAGGUGGAGAGGCAGAGUCCACUUUUCUCAGUUUAAACAAGACUAUUUAGCACAUAGAGCUCGAACUAUGGCAUCUUAGAUGGCACCUAUCAAACAAACAUAUCAUGAGAUUUUUCAUGUCCUUUUGUUCUAGGCCCUGAAAAAGAUUACUUAGGAAAUGGUCAGACCCCAUACAUGUUUGAUGUAGUAAUCAUAGUUCAAGAGAAAGCAAGAUAAAGAAAGUGCCAUCAUGGUCCCAAACCUGGGACAACACUACACAGUAGGUUUCACACCAGUGAAUCUUUUGUGGCCUCAUUCCAUGACAAACAAGUCUGCCACACCCAAUGAGAUAAAAAAACUGUAUGUGAUCAAUUCCAAAGCAAAAAGAAACCUCCAUGGUUUGCAAACCUUGGAUCUGGGUCCCAUGGUGGUGUUCACCAGGGCUUUUCUACUGUGCUAAGUGGAAGAUGACUGCACCCACACCUUUCUCCACCACUCGAAGCAAAGGAAAACAAAUUGCGGAAAGGUUCCAUGUCAUGUAAUCUCAUGUUAGCCAUCCACCUAAGAAAUCUACAUGCUUCUUUAUUCUUUUGACAAAUCUUUUCUAAUCUAUGAUCUUCCCAAUCCAAAUAAGAAGCUGGAUCAAACAUUUGUCUUCUCUUGAACUUGUGCUAGCUUUUAUUCAAUGUGUGCAUACACUCUACCAAAAAAAAGGAUGAGUUGUACAUUGAUUUUUUUAAUAAAAAAGGCUAACUAAUAGAUUUAAGAUCACAAAAAAGUUUGGACAACAAUAUCAGAAUUUUAACUUGGUUCUUGACUUGUAUGUCCUUAUCUAGAUAGAAUAUGACUUUCUGCAACUUGUAUCCUUUCAAUUUUGUGGUAUGCAAUAUGUAUGGCAUCAUCAUCCUGUCAGUCCAAACUGAACAAUCUCCAACCAAAUGCAGCAUUACCAUAUCUAUCCACUUCUUGAUUUAAUUGCUAAUUACCAAAAAAACUUAAAGGUGUUGACGUGACCAACAGAAAUCUUUGGACGAUCAUUACAGUAAAUUGGAAGCUUUUACCCAAUUAUCUACUUAAUGAAGUCUCUUUGUGCUAGCAUGGCCUCUUAUUGAAACCCUCCUUGUCGCGCUACUAGAAAUCUGGAAUGUAGACCAGCUUUCAUCAAAUUUUCUACUCGCAUCUUUUAAUUGAGUGAACUUCUCAUCCUCCAAUAUGUAUCAGUUCUGAAACUUAGGAGGUCCGAAAAAACAAAAAGAAGAGACAACAAGAGAAGAAAGUAAUCCUCCUUCCAUUACUGAAGAAACUUUCCUUUCUUCAAGAUAGUGUGAGCCAAGCUCAAAGAACUGAAAGCAUUUUCCUUAGCCAAGAAGAAAUGUGUCCUCUCCUAGCAUCUGUUUUAUGCAGUUGACAUUGAAUAGACUGUCAGCAUCUGUUUGUGAAGAGUCUCUGCUUUCUCCAAAGUGGUAUAACUGAAAAGAUGCACUCUUGGUAGAAAACAGUUCUCUCCAAGUGUCUAUUCUCCAAAGUUGGCAAUGAAUAGUCUAAUAGUUUGGCUGUCUCUCUGCAAAAGUUACACUAUACAACUUUCUAAGAUCCAUAUGCUAUAUAUCACAUCACCACAGCAUCAAACACUAAGUUUGGUAGCUUAUGGAUGUGCUGAGAAAGAUUAAAGACUAUAUGUUGGUUGGAAUUGGGAGUAGGCUUAGAUUGCAACUGAGGCUAAGAUUUACAAUCAUUGUUAAUCUUAGGCAAUGUAGAUACUCGACAUUUACCUCGAAAAAAGAUUACACAUGUUAUCAUAAAAAUGAUUGCAACUUCAAUGCUUCCUUUUCAUAAUGUAUCUUUACAAAUGAUCAUGUAGGAUGUGAACUUGAAGUCAAGAUCUGGCAAUGGUGAAAUCAACAUGGGAACAUGAAAUGCACAGUCCCUUAUCAUUUUUGAGGCAGCUUCCUUUUUUGCUUGUUCUAAUCAAAUCAGUCUUUUUUUUGUCAAUCUCACAAAAAAAGAACUGAGCUCAGGAGCUGUCCCAACUCUCUUGGCAAAUCCCUACCUACAAAGUUCACUUGGGGUGAGUUGGGACUUGGCUAGUCUCAUCUUCCAUCCACCUACCACCUCCAUUGUUCAUAACCUGCAGCCAUUUCAAGUUUCCAAGUCUCCUACUUGUAUUGAAAAUACAGUUCCUCAUCUAAUGCUUGGUUGUUGGAUGCAUGGUUAAAGAAGCACAUGCAACAUGUGAACCAAACAUAGAGUACAUGCAUUUGUAAUAUAUGAAUAAACCAUCAUAAAUAUGUAUUUUUAGGAUAGAAUGUUGAAGGUAUCAAAAGUUUUUAGAAAGCAUGUGCAACAAAUGUCUUCCACUAUCAAACUUACAAGACAAUGGGCACAGGAAACAACAUUUGGGGUGGUUAGAUAUGAACUUAAGUUUAAGAUUGAUGGGAGAUGUUCCUUCAAACAUCUCCUAUCAAUAAAACUGUGUAUAUUGAUCCUUCUUGCUUCUCUCUAGACUUGAAUUUUAGGGAAGAUUUUAUGAGUAUAUCAUGUGAAGAUAAUAUUAAAUACCUAUUAUCAUAGAAAUAAAUAUAAUAUGUCAAUAUCAUCUUAAUAUAAAAAAUUAUAUGUUUAGAAGGCAGCAUCAACCAAUUCAUUUGGUCUUUCAUGCCAUGAGAUAUAACAAAAUUGGUUAGUAUUAUGUCACACUCUAAAUUAUUAGAGGAGUUAUGAAUAUAACAGUUUAACUCCUAUUGAAUAUAACAUUUGAAAUUUGACUCUUCUUAAUCAAGACUCAUUUAAAAUGAUAUGUUUAAGAAAUCUAUGGGCAUAGUAGUCAAAAGAGGUAAAAUGAUAAAUAUUAGUAGUACGAGGAGAAAUAAAGAAAGACCUAAAAGGAUCUUAAUGAAAAUUAUUAAUAAAGAUUUAAAUACUUUAAGUUUAACUAAAUAUAUGACUUUUUAACUGAUUUCAAAUAGUUGAGACUUGAAGUUUUAUUAUUGUUGUUGUUAUAUAAAAUUUUAAGACUUAUAUUAGUAAUUUAAAUUAGAUGAACACGCCAACUAAUUUGGAUAGUACACUAUAAAUAAAUGUAAUGGUAUGUAUUAUCAUAUUAUUAAUUUUUUACAAUUAUAUAUAUAUUUCUUGGUCUUCUUUCCUAAAUACUCUCUUUCAUCAUCUUCCUAUUAUUUUUUGUUUAUAUUUGUUUUUGACAGUAUAGGUUUCUAAAAAUAUUAAAUAUUUUUUCGUUAAAAAAAUAGGUUAAUAAUUUUGAUUAGAACAUGACAAACUUCCAUUAGUAUUAUAAGAAAUUAUUUGCCAUAGUUAUUUUUAUACAAUUGUCCCCAAUAUAAAUCCUUGAUGUAUUGGCAUCAACAUGACAUUCUGUAUGACAUAUUUUGUAUCAUUGGAAAAAACAUUUGAUUGAUUAUUUUGAAUCUUGAAUUGGCUAAUCAGUAACUAUAAUGAUUUUUAGAAUUUUAAAAUAAAUUAUAGUGAUGUCAGUAUAAUCAAUCAGUCGAUUAAUAUUUUUAGAAAACAUCCAUUUGGAUGACCAAAAAAUAAUUCAUACAUCAGUAUCACUCCAUCAAGAAUUUAUGGCAUAUAUAAGUCCCUACAAUAUUAUUAGUUAAAAAUCUAUAUAAUUUUAAAAUUUAAAAUACCUUUAUUUUUUAUCCAUUUUUUACAUUUUUCACCGCACUUUUCGGUCUUAAAAAGAAACAAUUACUUUAACAAUUACAUCAGAUAUACAAAGAGAAUCAAAGAUUUGAUGUCAUCAUAGAAGAAGCUCACAAAAGAGCCACAUAAACUCAUGAACAUUAAUAAUGUCAAUUGGAAGUUCAAAAUCAUUAAAAUAUUAACUAUAAUAAUUUUUAGAAUCUUAAAAUACAACAUGAAUGUGCCAAAUUUAAAGAAAUUAAAGGGGUAAGUAUAUAAAUAAUUAAAAACACUCCAUUCUUUCAUCACCAUCAGUAAGUCGAAUCCCUGAAGCUGAUCUGACCAUAUAUUGCCCCUCUCUCAUAUUGUAUUUGAUCAUAUCAAUUUGAUGUGAUGGGCAUCGGAUUAAUGUUUCAAUAUAUAUAUAUAUAUAUUGUCAACCAAUGAAUAAAAUACAUAGCUGACCAAUGAAUUGAAGUUUAAUUAAUCGACAUCAUCGCAUCUCAAUCUUUUGGGACAUUUGGUACUUUGACCAACCGACCAAUAUGAACUCUCUCUUUCUUCCUCUCCUUUCCAUCCAUCGUUUUACUAUCAAUCUAGAAUUCCAUAGCCACAUCAUGACAAUGAAGAGAGAGUUGUUUUCUUUAAUGAGAAUAUUAAAAUAUUGUUUGAUUUCUUGGACAAUGUUUUAAGUCACGGAUAUUGACACCAUUUCACUGUCAUAUGGUUCCACAUAAACAUCAAAGCAUCACAAUUUACUCCACUUUCAAACACCUAAUUUAACCCCAUUCUAGUAUGACAUGAAUUCAAAUAUAAAUAUUUUUCUUUUGUCAUAAUAUUUCACAUUAAUUGAGUGAUCAUAAAUGCUGGAUGUUUUAGGAAGCACAAAAUAAGAGUGGAUCCUUUGAUUGGAACUCUUCAAAUUAUACUGAUUCAACUGUUGCCUUCCAGAAAUCCACUUCUCAGUAGAAAAUGAUGGUGAAAUUUAAUUACUUAUUGAAUAUAUAUAUAUAUAUAUAUAUAUAUUUUUACUAGACAAGAAGGUCAAAUUUAUGCAGUUCUAUGCAAGUAGAUAAACUAUUUCCAUGAUCCUUUGAUUUUGUUAUUUUUUACAAAUCCAGUUAUUAAUGCUAUUUCAGUAUUUAUAAUUGCUAGUGAUUUAGUAAAUAUGAUUCAUUACAACUCUUUUCGCUGGCAAUAUUAGAAAAAAUAAUGUUUAAAACCGAAGGAAAUUAAUUCCUGUUAAACAUGUCAUGUUAAUACGAGUUAGAUGGAAUAUUAUUCUUAUUUCAGAAACACUCUCUUCAGAGUUCUAAAACUUUAUUUGCGAUCGAUCUAGUUUGAGCAUUGGCAUGCUCCCAUGCUAGUUUUAUAGUAAUGUUCGUGACACGAAGGGCUCGAGAGAGGAGUAUCGACAUAAUCGGAUAUUUCGUUCUACCGAAGAAAAGCGGCCAAGUCAAAUUGAAUUGUUCCCAUUAAUGAAGCUAUAAGUCAAGAAAAAUAUUAUAUUUUUCUACUAGUCUAAGCAUUUAUUCCACGAGAAACUUGAGUUCCAUGGAGGCAGAUUUGAAGUUGUUCUACUUCCUGGCUUUCAUUACACCAAACACACCGACCGCUGAAUGCGUACAAUUCUCCCACCAUUUUUGAAGAAAAUUGUCACUAAACACUUUUGAUUGUUACGAUGAUUUCAAAAGAAUUUUUGUGUCAUACAAUUGGAUGAAACAUUUCUAUACUAUAAUAGUCGAGCUAUUGAUCAUUGCUAUGCUUCAUUAUUAUUCGUUGCAAAGUAGAAGAAACAUUAACAAUCAUAAAGUCUUAUAUGUUAUCAUCCUAAGCAUUUAUUUUUCCAAUCGAAAAAGAGAAGAGAUUAUUCUUCACAUAAAAUUUGAUAUCAUAUGUGCUUAAAAUGAAUUCUUCUACGAAUAGAUAAAUAAUGGAUCAUAUUCAAAUUCGAUUGAAGGUAGAGAUAAAUAAUGGAUAAGUAAGCAUGUUCCAAAUAUGUAUUAAUAUCAAAUAGAGCUAAACCAUGUUCUUUUUUUCAUCAAGGAGUUGAGGUAUCAAAAUUGAUAUUAACAUGGUCUUGCAACAAAUAUGUAUGUGUUGGUGUAUAUAUGUAUAUCAAGAUCGAAAUAGGUUUUAGAAAAUGUUAUAUUUACAUUAUAUUAUGAUAGUAAAAAGAGAAGUCAAAAAAGAAAAGAAAAGACUUCAAUUCCAAAAUUAAGAGCUUUAAAAAUUAAGUGCAAACAAAUGGAAGUUUUUCUUUUGAAGAGAAAAGAGUGACAAAAUCUUCAUUUUAUUGGGGUUUCAUUUCAAGCUCUCAUUUCAGUUCCAUUUCCUCCUAUACAAAAGGGCUUUGAUGCUGCCUUGUAUUAUUUAUAGGCACAGGGAGUCACCCAGCUCUCAGUUCUGCCAUCUCUCUCUCUCUCUCUCAACCUAUGUGAUACUGAGCUAUGACGAGUCUCAGGGAGCAGGUAGUUUAUGGUGAUGGGUUCUGAGGAGAUGGAGCAGGAGAGAGGAAGAGCGGUCGUGGAGGAGACCACCCACCUUCCCUCCUCUACUCUUUCUCUCACACCCACACAACUGCUUCCUCGGCCGGUGAUGAUGAGAGUCAUCCACACUCGCCUCCCUUAGAAGAAGAAGAACAACAACAACAACGCUUGUCUGAGCGUGAGACAUACAGUGCCUUCGUUUUCUGCGUUCCGCAUCACUACCUCUGGCUUUUGCAUCCUUCUACAAGACCAGACAUGAAGAGAACGCUCGGUACCUCAGAUAAUUCUCUGAUCCACAACUGCUCCUCCGGUACUUGUUGCCCAACUCUUCUUGCUUCUCAGAUCUCUUUGUCAUCGUGUAUAAAUCUCCAAAGGAAAAGAAGCGAGAGCUGAUGACGUCUUGGUUAGCAGGAGAAGACCAGGAAGACGUGUAUGGCGGAGACUUCCAACCGAUCAUGGAAGGGCUGGACGAAGACGACGGCGGCGGCGACGAGGAGCUGUGUGCCGCGACGACGGCAGGGGGAGGAGCGAAGAAGCGCCGGCUGAGCACGGAGCAGGUCAGAGCUCUGGAGAAGAACUUCGAGGUGGAGAACAAAUUGGAACCGGAGCGCAAGGUGCGGCUGGCCAAGGAGCUCGGCCUUCAGCCCCGGCAGGUGGCCGUCUGGUUCCAGAACCGCCGAGCCCGGUGGAAGACCAAGCAGCUGGAGCACGACUACGCCGCCCUCAGGACCAGCUACGACGCGCUCCGCCUCGACUUCGACUCCCUCCACCGCGACAAGGAAUCGUUGCUCUCGCAGGUGAACUGCGCAAACCAUCCGGAAACCGAUCCCGGACUUAAUCGAUUUGUUGUACGACGUGACAUGAACCUGAUCUCCUCAUCUUCCACCACGGCGCAGAUAGAUGAUCUGAAGGCGAAGUUGGCCGAAACCGAGGGCUUGAGCUUGAGCUUCUCUUCCUCGGCGAAAGAAGGGCCGGCGGUCCCCGAAACCGCAGCCAAAGCCCCGGAAUCGGAGGACCCACCGGCUGCGAUCUGCAAGGACGGAUCGUCGUCCAGCGACUCGAGCGCCGUCGUGAACGACGCAGCCAUAGCCAACGACGAGAACAGCCCUCAGUUGACCACAGCCUCCGAUAUGUUUUCGGCAGCGACGGCAGGGGCGUCCGGGGAACUCGGCAGCGAUUCGUCCAUGUUGCUGAAUUCGGACUCGAGGCCGAGGUUCUUCUGUCAGCACCACGAGGUCUUGAAGAUGGAAGAGGAAGAGCUCCUCUGUGAGCCCUGCUGCAGCUUCUUCUCCGACGAGCAAGCGGCGACGCUCAACUGGUACUACUCCGACCAUUGGAACUGAGACUCUCGAGUGUGUGUAGGGGGGGGAGGAGCCGAGAAUAAUAUCCAAAAAUUGGAGGGUCUUUUCAUAAAAGUUUUGUUAAAUACGAUUGUAUGUACCACUCGCUUCAAAUAUUAUAUUUUGUAGAGCCAAAACAAAACAAAACAAAAUCUUUGAGCCCUAAGAAGCGUGAGAACAGAUGGGAGAAAAAGGAAUUAAAUAUUAAAAAAAGAAGCAAUUUUAUUAGAAAAUUAUUAGGCAAAAUGUUAAUUAAUUUGGAUAAUUUUAAAUUUGGGUAAAGUAAACAAACCUCUUUAAUCCUCAUCAAAAUAUAUGCAACCAAUCACAUGGGUCCUUUUUGUGAAGGGCAGUAAGUAUCCUUCCCUCCCUACUCAAUUAAAUUAGUAGGUGUUGUGUGCUGCAUGGUUUUGGUGACAUUUGCCACCAACAUAAUUUCUCAUGUCAAUCCUGAAAAGAGAAAUCAAAUCUAAAACUCGUGUAUCGUAAAACGAUCGGGCGAAUCAAGGCGUUCGCUGGCUCGGUGGAGCAGCCAACUCCGGCAUUGCGACUUGGUUUGGAGGUUUCCGUGACGUGGCCUCGGGUGCAGUCAACAGCCCCCAUUUGUUUGCAUUCGGUGGUGGGACCAAUUUGGGCAUCUCGGCCACGCUACACACGGACAGAGGAGGCAUUACCUUUCCCAUUGGUCCUUGUCAUCGUCUUUGAGUCACAAAUAAAUCAACGUGCCGUGGGCUCCACACGAUGGGGAUUUCAAUGAGGAUGGAAAAGUACUCCUCUGUUGAUUAAUGAAGAUCUAAUAUAUAUAUAACUCUCAUUUUACAGUAAUAUCCAGCUAAACCAUGAGACUUAGAUCAAGUCGUCGAGUCCAAUUUACUGCUAUCUCAAAAAUGUUUAAGUGUCGGAGGAGGCGUAACGGGCGAAAUAUCCCGAUAUGUUUGUGGGAAGAGAAGCACGAAAGAGACUGACCAUCUCCUCCGCCCUCUCCGGCCUCGCCAUUUUUCCUCGGCAGAUUCUCCUGCGAAAGCUUGACAACAACACUGCCUUGUUUGGAUGUGCGAGUCAGAGACACGCAUUCAAUGCAAGCUGUCAUCGGCAUGCCCUGUUGGUGGAAUCACAUGCUCCUCCUCCGUAGAGUUGCUGUCACCUCUCUCUCUCUGACCUGUGAUCCUCUCUUCAUCACUAUUGUAAGAGGAAUCUGCCUGCCUUGGUUCUCGGUGGUGAAGCAUUUCGGAGCAAGGAUAGCCAAGUAGAUGAUAUUAUAAUAAAUACUUAGAAGAGUCAAAGCAAUAAUAUUUAAUGUCUGAGGGAAUAACCUAUAGGUAUAUAAUAUAGCCAUAUAGCCAUAUAAGUUAAUGAAAUAUAUUUUUUUCACAUUAAGAAUUUAAGAGCAAUCGGUCCAUUUCAAGCUUACUUCUUAAUGUUCAUUUUAAUGCACUAAGCAAUAGAUAUGCUUCAAGGUAGUAACACUCUCUCAAGUGAAUUCAACGGGCCUCGGCGCCGAGGUGGGACGAGCGCAGCCCACCUGAUUAAAAUCAGACACGAUUGUAUUGGAUCUGAGCCCAACAUAAGUCACGGGAUGUGGUUCGAUCGAACCAAAUGAAGGAAUCCCCUCUCUCACACGCAACUAAAUCAAUGGACACGCGUGCCAUGAGAAGACUGCUGGAAACCUAAUCGGCCACCGGCGGCAGCGUCUUCCUCUCCAUCGGCGAAUGGCGGCGGCAAUGUCUUCCUCAAGCGGGCUGCAUCGUCGGUAUCUCUCCUCCUCCUCCUCCUUUGCCGUCGCCCACACUUCCCCAACCGCCUCCCUCCAUCUUCCCGCCCCCACCUUCGCCGCCAGCGUCACCUCUUCUUCGCCUCGUCGUAGCCGUCUUCCCGCUUCCUCCAUGCGCCGGCGUUUUCCCUUCUCCUCCCGACGUCGGCGUCUUCUUUCUGUGUCAUCCUUUCACCCCCGCGGCCAGCGUCUUCUCCCCCUUCGCUUCGCUGCAGCCGCCCCAGCAACCCUCUCCCGUACCUCCUCCUCCCUCUCCUUCUCGUCGGAUCCUUCAUCCUUGCCCCCCUCCCAACUGACAGCAACCCCCUCUUCAUCCUCCUCCUUCUACGUAAAUUGUUUUAUUAAUAUAGAUUUGAACAAGCAUUAUUUGGUCCUUUAAAUGAAUACUAUGUUUCUUUUUUUGUUUUAGCGAUUAUAUCUAUUAAUCAUGAUGUAUACUUUUAAAAUUUUAAGAAGCAUCUCUCUUCACUCGGGCCAGCGUCUCGGGCGUUUUGAUACCUUGGCGGCGUUUUAACACCUUGGCGUCGUUUAAUGUCUGUCGACCUCGAGCACACUGCUAGAGAAACAACUUGGUUCACAUGUUUGGUUCCAUUUAAUUAUUCGGACCCAUGCAUGUUGCCAAACUUUGUCGAUGUUAGUUUUCAUGCUUGGUCCUUUUAUGUGCAUAUUUGAAUUCAUCUGAACCAAAUUGAGCACAUCACAGCUCCACAAAAAAUCAUUGAAUUUGAGCUGCAUUGGUUAUAUAUGUAUUCUAAAAAUGUUAUGAGAUUCAAGUGAGAUUGUCAUGAUUCAAUUUUAACCUAAACAUGUUUCAGCUGCAUUCCCUCACAUCAAGUUCUAUGCUUAAACUAACCUGUCCGUGAGUCCCUCAUGCAUAAAUGUCUGCCUGCAUGUACACGUUUGAUUGCAUGCCAUUAUUUUAUUAUAUCAAUCUUUUGAUCCCAUUAUUAAUUUUUUGUUGCUUACCACAUAAGUCGGUCGGUUCUCAAAUGGUUAUGAAUGCCAAAUAAGUUUGUAAUAUGACUUUUGAUUAUCGUUACCUAUUUGUUGCUCAGACAUAAUAAUACAUGUGCAAUUUAGUUAUCAGAUAAAACCACGCACAUGGGAGCAUUGCACAUAUUUCCUGUCUGUUUUUGGCUCUUGUGGUAACUUCAUCAAAUGCGUGCUGAUUCUGGUGUCUUGCAUUGAACCACAGUAAUGAAUUGUUGGACCUCCUUUCGCAUGUAUACUAAUUAUACAUACAGAAUGCAUUUAUAUAUUCAAUUUUGAGGCUAAGAGAUUGUCUAUAUUAAUGGAUUUGGAGAGGGCAGUUAGGUACUAGAAGCUAUUAGGACCUGUCACUGUCUCUUAAUGCUAUCCUCUGUCACUAAAAGUACAAGCUGAGUGAACAAUUAGAAUGUGACAUGAUUUCCAAACCCCAAAAUAGACCCAAAAUCUCAAUGUGUUUGGUUAGGUAUAACCUUACAUCUUUAUGUCGGCAUAAUGUGGUCUCCUCUGCAGGCUGAUAGUAACUCUCUUGGCAACUUGAUACAUGUUUGUACAUCAAAGCAUAUCGGUGUGCUUAUAUUUGAAUUACCAUUCUUGUAUUUAUACUAGUAGCAAUAGAAAAACAUUUAAAUGUUCUUAAUUCAACCACAGGUGUUUUCUUACACAGAGUUCAUUGACGCAAAAGAUGCAUAUAGCUGAUCAUGAAUAGUUACAUUAUGACUUUUAUUGUUGUUGUGCUUGUUUGCACUUGCUGGUUUUAUUGGAAAAUUCUCACUGAUCUAGGCUAUGUUGGUGAAACUUCUCAAUAAGAAAUAUUUUUUUCUUUAUUAAUGACAUCAAGAUAUUUUCUAAUACUGUAGCUGAAGCUAUUUGCACGAGCAGUCUUUCUAUAAAAUUAAGUUCCUUUAUCAACAUAGAACCAAAUAAACUAGUAGCAUUUCUUGAUCAAGGCAGCUUUCUUACCUCUUGGUUCAUUUUUCAGAAAAUUUGUUGCCUUUCUCAGGUCUUUCAUCGAAGUUGUAAUUUUUUGUCAAGUUGUAUUAACAAUGGCAUCUUUAGCAUGUUGAACCUCACAGGUAACUUUUUUGUUAAUUUCUUAAACAGUGUAUUUUCUAGUUACCUGUCUUUCUAGACUUGUAACUAGGUCAUCUCUUUACAUUCAUGAUGAAAAGGUUCAAUUAUUCUGCAAGUGCUCACUUGAAAUGUUUCAGGUUUUAGUUGUAGUAGGACAUUAGUGAAUCUGAUGUUAGAUAAAACAGUAUGCAUCUUUGACUUAGUCUGAAUUCUGAAGUACCCCUUGCAAGUCAUUGACUGAUGUUCAACCUAUUAGUACAAACUUGAAUAUCAUCCAUAUAUGAUCAACGUAAUGAAUGCCAUUGCCACUCUUAUGCAGCAUGUUUGAUGAAGAUACAUUUGAUAUGAUUUUCUAAUUGCUGCUGGGAUAUAGUGUGCUUCACAGUUUCUAAAGCUCCUAACUACAAUAGAGAAAUAAUGGAAGGUAGUGUCAGUGCGCAUGUGUCACAUCAAGCCAUUGUUUCAGUGGUGUAGAAUUGCAAGGAUGGAAGUGUGAUAAUAAGUAAAUUAUCCAAGGUAUUCUUAAUCAACUCUCAUACACAAUUUAGAGAUUUAUUUCUGAAAGAAAUGGCUUAUGGAAACUGAAUGCAGGUGGAUUAACAUGAGUGGUAGAGGAAUGUCGUCGGAUCAGAUGAUUAGUUGAAAGUUUUCAACUUCCUUCUGGUUGGAAGCAGAUACAGAAAAUAUAUAUAGUUUUGGUGCCCUCGAUUUGAGGUAGAAGAGGAAUCUGAACAUAGAGCAUCCAGCAAUAAGACUACUUUUCUUGUAUUUUUCUGCAAACAGUACGUGAUACUGCUUCAAAAGAUCAUGUUUUUGGUGCAAAAGAGGCUCUUUUGCUAUCUGCCAAGUAACAAGUCCACUAUCCAUCUUUCCUCCUAUCAACUUUGCGGUCUGUUUAACUUCUCCACUGCUAAAGACCAAAGUUCAGAGCAUAGUUCCAACUUUAUAGUGGUCGACUCCCUUCAUUCAUGUGAACUUUCCUCAGAGAAGGCUGCAAAAAAAGCCAAGUAUCACACCUGUCACAAAAAUUCUUCGAGUCUUUCCAUUGAGUUCUUUAAGCAGAGCGGUUGGAGUGAUGCACAAGUCAUGAAACUUAUCCGGAAGUCACCGCUGUUGCUGCGUACUAAGGUAGAGACUGCCCUGAAGCCCAGAAUGAGAUCUUUGAAGGACAUGGGAUUUUCUGACACUGAAAUAGUUCAGCUGGUUUCAUCAUGUCCAUCUGUACUCCUUUUACGUGAUAUCCAACCAAAGAUCGACUUCUGGAGGUCACUACUUGGUUCUAAUGAGAGGUUACUGAAUGCCUCUAGGAGGAACAUGUUUCUACUUGGUUCUAGCAUGGAUCGGAAGAUAGAACCUAAUGUAUCUCUCUUAAGGGAAUGUGGCAUCAGUGACAAACGCAUCGUGUAUAUGGUGAUGACAACGCCGGCCAUUAUGGGUCGAUCAAACAAAUAUAUGAAGGAAGCUAUCAAAUUAGUUAAGGAGUUGGGUGUGCCAUGUAACUGUAGAAUGUUCCCUUAUGCACUUAGUAUGGUCACCGGCAUGAGCCGAUCCAGGUUUUAUGAUACCUUUGCAACCCUGAUGAACUUUGGGUUCUCCCUGCAAGACAUCAUAGCUGCAUUCAGGAAGCAUCCAACCAUUUGGUAUUUGUCGAAGAAGAACAUAUGUGACAAGAUGACUUUCCUGUUGAAGGAAGCUGGUUGUGAGCUGACAUAUAUCAUUUCCCAUCCUGUGAUUCUUGCAUACAGCUUGGAGAAGAGGUUGAAACCUCGAUAUGCAAUUCUGAAUUUUCUUGAGCAGAAUAAAUUGCUGGAUAAAGUAUAUAGCCUGAUGUCCGUGAUAAUGCUAUCGGAAAAGAAGUUCCAAAAUAAAUUUCUUUUCCUGCUUCGCGAGGAGAAAUCUAUUGCUCUAUAUGAUUCCUAUUUGAAAUCUGUUGCUCAAUAGGAUUCCUAUGUUGCUGCUGGGCAUGGAAAGCACCAUGUUGUUUGGGAAAAUUAGGAUUGCAUGUGCUUCCUCAGACAAAGUGUCAACUUAUUGCACACUUAUUUAAUCAUGUUAAAUUUGUGACAAUUUAAAUUCUCCAAGGAGCUUCUUUUCUUUUAUUCUUUGGUACAACAAAAGAUACGGAUUCUUUUAUGCAGAAAUAUAGUGAACCAACGGGGAGAAGUCUUACUUAAGAAAGAUAUAAAGGUAACUAAAAUGUUUCAACUCUGUCAGCUAUCUGUGUCAACUUGGCAUCAGUCGUAUUAAUUUAGAUGAUUAAGAACUUGUUAAUUAUGUGAGUAUGAAUAGGGACUAAUAUAUGAUAGUAAAGAGUUAAUUGUGUGAGGGCUUUCUUUGUCAGAAUCCCAUCACCUCUCCACCGGCUCUAAAUUACAUCUCUAUUUAUAUGGAAUGAAACCUCUAUUGUUACAUGUUGUUAAUCAUGCACUAAUAUAUGAUAGUUAAGUGUGAUUUAUUGAAGAUAUCGAUUUACUAUAUACUAUUGUUGAAAAAUGAACCCACGAGAGUAAUACCUUUCGAUUUAUUGUUGGAGCGCACUAACGAAUAUUCAGUUAUGCAAAGAUGAUUAUUAUAAUAUGAUGAUUGAAUUUUGUGUAUACUAUGGUACAUUAGUGCAUGUGGCAAUUAUGAGAUUUAUUAGAUAGUAUCAACAUGCACUAUUGUAAGAGGCCCCGUGAGAUCAACGUGCACUAUUGUGAGAUUUAUUAUAUAGUAUCAACUGUCACCUCUCUCUCCCUCUCUCUCUCUCUUUCUCAGCCCGUGACUGCAUGCAUGCAUCCCAAUAUUCGUUCUAGUCAUCGUUCUAGUCAUAUCCAGACAUACUCACACAUUAAGAAUUUAAGAGUCAUCGGUUCAUCUCAAGCUUGCUUCUUAAUGUUCAAUUUAAUGCACUAAGCAAUAGAUAUGGUUUAAGGUAACAACACUCUCUCGAGUGAAGUGAACGGGUCUCGGCGCCCCCCUGAUUCAAAUCAGAGAGGACUAUAUUGGAUCUGAGCACAACAUAAGUCACUGGAUCUGGUUCGAUGGAACCAAAUGAAGGACUCUCCUCUCUCACACACAACUAUAUCAAUGGCCACGCGUCCAAUGAGAAGACUCGUGGAAACCUAAUCAGCCACCGGCGGCACCGUCUUCCUCUCCAUCCGCGAAUGGCGGCGGCAGCAAUGUCUUCCUCAGCGGGCUCAUCGUUGGUAUCUUUCUCCUCCUCCUCCUCCUCCUCAUCCUUUGCCGUCGCCCACUCUGCCCCAACCGCCUCCCUCCAUCUUCCCGCCCCCACCUUCGCCGUAGCCCCCCCGCGACCGGCGUCUGCCCCUGCCUCUUCCUUUCCCCUCGUCGUAGCCGUCUUACCCCUUCCUUCCUGCGCCGGCGUUUUCCCUUCUCCUCCCUACGUCGGCGUCUUCUUUCAUUGUAUCAUCCUUUCACCCCCGCAGCGUCUUCUCCCCCCUUCGCUUCGCUGCAGCCGCUUGAUAAGACCCUAAGGUUUUAUCAGGGAAAAAAUUGGGAGAAAAGGGGACGAUCACUUCGAGAUGAUCGGCCUCCUUGAUCACUUCGAGGGGAUCGUCGACGGGAACUUGUCUUCGUGCCCGGCACCCAGUGUGCAGCUGUUUGUUCAACAUUCUAAAGUUUUUGUUUUUCUCAUUUAUCUCUUUUCUCUUAUGCACGCAAAGUGUUCGCUGAAUGGCUUUUAAAGCUUUUCUUUUUGUGGGACGUCGGGACUUGUCCGUUGUUUAUUCUUCGAACUAAUCAACUUUUUCUUAUGCACGCAAGGUGUUCGCUGACCUUUGCGGACACAUAUCACAAGGGCACGUCAUGACUUUGGCAAUCCCAAUUAAGUCCAAGAAGUUGACGCAACGGCGCUUUGCGACUUAGGCAACUCAAGCCAAAUUUGUGUCUUGGCCGCAAGGGUGCCUCACGACUUAGGCAAUUCCAGUUAAGUCCGUGACAAGGCGACGGUGAAGAAGGAGGCAACGAGGGUCACGGUUGGGAUGUGUUGGCCGGGAGCAGUGGCGGUGGCGGUUGCUGGCCGAAGAUGCAAGGCUGACCCUGUUUUGGUCGCCGCGAGGAGGAGAGGUCGAGCGGCUGCGGUUGCGAUUGCGACCCAAGGGGGGGCGGGCGACGGUGGAGAAGGAGGCAGCGAGGUUCACGACUGGGAGGUGGGCGACGGUCAUCGUUGGCCGGGAACUUGCUGUGGUGGAGAGGGGAAAGAGGGAUGCUCUGUUUCUAUCGCACCACAGCAGGAGCCACUGGCGAUGUCGAAGGAUCGCGAGCGGUUGAGGAGAAGGCUGGCAACGGUGGUGGCUCGGGUGGGAGGUGACGGGCGACGGUGGACUCUGGCCGGGGAGCGGGGCUGUGGUGGGAUGGGACAUUGGCAGCGUCGUCUCCUGGCAGCGGUGGUGGCUUGGGUGGGAGGCAACAGGCGAUGGUGGACUCCGGCCGGGAAGCAGGGCGGUGGUGGUAGCGGCGGUGGGGUUGGUUGGAAGUAGGGAAAGUAUGAGCCCUUUCCACCAGCGACAGUGGUGGAGGAGAGGGGAAGCAGGGGUUCUCGGUUGUGCGUGGCUGCGCCCCCUUUUUUUUUUUUUAUGAUAACUACAACGAGGACUCCGAGGAUCGCUGCUCUGAUACCAAAUGAUAAGACCCUAGGGUUUUAUUAUGGAAAAAAAGGGAGAAAAGGGGAUGAUCACUUCGAGGGGAUCGACCUCCUAGGGUUUGUCAAAAGACUUAAUAAUAUUUCAUUGUCUCCGAAAAGAAACGAUUACAUCAUUAUUUAUAGAGUUCCACUUAGAAUCCAUCACGACUUGGACUCUUAAUAAUAAAUAAAUAUUAAAUAAAUUUCUAUCCGAUUCUAACUGAAUUAAACAUACUCAAUAAACAUUAUUCAAAAGUUUAGAAAAUAAAAAGGAUCCUAACAUCGCCCCAGCAACCCAACCGACAUUGACAACCAUUCUAACCCGUACCUCCUCCUCCUCCUCGGAUCCUUCAUCCUUGACCCCCUCCCAACUGACAACAACCCCCUCUUCAUCCUCCUCCUUCUAUGUAAAUUGUUUUAUUAAUAUAGAUUUGAACAAGUAUUAUUUGGUCCUUUAAAUGAUUACCAUGUUUCUUUUUUUGUUUUAGCGAUUAUAUCUAUUAAUCAUGAUAUAUACUUUUAAAAUUUUAAGAAGCAUCUCUCUUCACUUGGGCCAGCGCCUAGCCAAGCACCUAGCAUCUCAGGCGUUUUGACACUUUGGCGUCGUUUAGUGUCUCUCACCCGCGACCACACUGCUAUAGCACAACUUGGUUCACUUGUUUGGUUCCAUUUAAUUAUUCAGACCCAUGCAUGUUGCCACACUUGGUUGAUGUUAGUUUUCAUGCUUGGUCCUUUAUGUGCAUGUUUGAAUUCAUCUGAACCAAAUUGAGCACAUCACAGCUCCACAAAAAAAUCAUUGGAUUUGAGCUGCAUUGGUUAUAUAUGUAUUCUAAAAAUGUUAUGAGAUUCAAGUGAGAUUGUCUUGAUUCAAUUUUAACCUAAACAUGUUUCAGCUGCAUUCCCUCGCAACAAGUUCUAUGCAUAAACUAACCUGUCCAUGAGUCCCUCAUGCAUAAUGUCUGCCUGCAUAUACAUGUUUGAUUGCAUGCCAUUAUCUUAUUGUAUCAAUCUUUUGAUCCUAUUAUUAUUUUUUUUGUUGCUUACCACAUAAGUCGGUUGGUUCUAAAAUGGUUAUGAAUGGCAAAGAAGUUUGUAAUAUGACUUUUGUUUAUCGUUACCUAUUUGUUGCUCAGACAUAAUAAUAUAUGUGCAAUUUAGUUAUCAGAUAGAACCACACACAUGGGAACAUUGCACAUAUUUCUUGUCUGUUUUUGGCUCUUGUGGUAACUUCAUCACAUAAGUGCUGAUUCCGGUGUCUUGCAUUGAACCACAGUAAUGAAUUGCUGGACCUCCUUUCGCAUGUAUUUACUAAUUAUGCAUACAGAAUGCAUUUAUAUAUUUGAUUUUGUGGCUAACGGAUUGUCUAUAUUAAUGGGAUUUGGAGAGGGCAGUUAGGUACUAGAAGCUAUUAGGAGCUGUCACUGUAUCUUCAUGCUAUCCUCUUCACAUCGAAGCUCUCAUUUUUCUUUUUUGUUGUUGUACAUGCCUCUGGAUCGUUCAUCAAUCAAUGUGAUUUUGUAUUUUGCUGUGCUUAGAUUUUAUUUUUCAUUUUUUUCUUCUUUUCAUUUCUUUGCUAUGAGAUGGUAGAUUUGUGCCUUGGCGGUCAUUAUAAACUGUGGUUUCAUUUUACAUUUUGAAACAUUAGUCAUUUUGGCAUCCAAAAUAAUUUUAUGUGACAUUUCAAAUUUCCUAUGACAUCAAUUACUUUGUUUUGUUCUUGAACAUUGGUACAGUGACAUGGUAUAAGUGAUCUUUUAUACAUGCUCAUUUGGUGAUCAUUGUAACUCGUAAAGGAGGUCAUGAAAAUAAUUUUGACUAAUAUUAGUUUAAAUUUACUUUACUUGAUUGUGGCCCAGAUAAUGUAAUCAAAUGUGGUGCUCGGCAUUUGAAAAUUUUCUUAUUAUACAAUAUCUCCAAUGAUGCGUAUUUAGUGACAACUGAAUUAAUUUCUGGCUCUUGGAUAUGAGCUGGUUCAGAACUGACCUUAGAUGGUGAAUUUUUCAAUCUCAGAUGUUCAAUGUUCUGAAAAUGCAUGCAUGUCAUUUACGAGCAUUUACUUUGGAGAAACAGCAAGCAACAACAUGCAAGUUAAAUACUGUUUAUUAAGAUGGACAGCAGGAGAAGUGCUGCUUUUAGAGAUAGAAAAGAGAAUUGGAAAGUUUUUUGACAAAAAAAAAGCUUGGAAAAGAUUGAACAAGAGAUAGCAGAGACUGUAAUUGUGUUACUGGCCAAAGAAAAUUAUAUUCAUUUGUCAAUAGAAUCAUGCAUACGUCUGGUGAUUCCUCAUGUGAAGGAUUUUAUUUAUAAAUAUAUCUGAGAUAGUACUAAUCUGAUUAGGUUUCCCAAAAGAAGCCCUCUAAACAGCAGCUGCUUGCUUUGAUAAAAGUGUUUGGUUCAUCAAACCUCUUAGUUUCCUUAUUAUGCCUACCACCACAAUUUCCUUUUCAAACACACCAAAACAUUUCAACAAUCAUCAAAACCCCAAAUGGUUCAAAGGACUUGACUCUCACUAAAAGUACAAGCUGAGCAAACAAUUAGAAUGUGACUUGAUUUCCAAACCCCAAAGUAGACCCAAAAUUUCAAUGUGUUUGGUUAGGUGUAACCUUACAUCUUUAUGUCGGCAUAGUGUGGUCUCCUCUGCAGGCUGAUAACAACUCUCUUGGCAACUUGAUACAUGUUUGUACCUCAAAAGAUAUUGGUGUUCUUAUAUUUGAAUUACCAUUCCUGUAUUUCUACUAGUAGCAAUAGAAAAAUAUUUGAAUUUUCUUAAUUCAACCACAGAUGUUUUCUUACACAGAAUUCAUUGAUGCAAAGGAUGCAUAUAGCGGAUAUGACUUUUAUUAUUGUUGUGCUUGUUUGCACUUGCUCGUUUUAUUGGCAAAUUCUCACAGAUCUAGGUUAUGUUGGUGAAACUUCUCAGUAAGAAAUAUUUCUUCCUUAUUAAUGACAUCAAGGUAUUUUUAAUACUGUAGCUGAAGCUAUUUGCACGAGCUGUCUUUCUCUAAAAUUAAGUUCCUUUAUCAACAUUGAACCAAAUAAACUAGUAGCCUUUCUUGAUCGAGGCACCUUUCUUACCUCUUGGUUCAUUUUAUGGAAAAUUUGUUGCCUUUCUCAGGUCUUUCAGCUAAGUUGCAAUUUUUUGUCUAGUUGUAUUAACAAUGUCUUUUCUACUUACCAGUCUUUCUAGUUGUAGUAGGAAUUAGUGAUCUCUGAAAGAAAUGGCUAAUGGAAACUGAAUGCAGGUGGGUUAACGUGAGUGGUAGACGAAUGUCCUCUGAUCAGAUGAUUAGUUGAAAGUUUUCAACUUCCUUUUGGUUGGAAGCAGAUACAGAAAAUAUAUUAGUUUGGGUGCCCUUGAUUCGAGGUAGAAGAGGAAGCUGAACAUAGAGCAGGCAGCAAUAAGACUACUUUUCUUGUAUUUUUCUGCAAACAGUACGUGAUACUGCUUCAAAAGAUCAUGUUUUUGGUGCAAAAGAGGCUCUUUCGCUGUCUCCCAAGUAACAAGUCCACUAUCCAUCUUUCCUCCCAUCAACUUUGCAAUCUGUUUAACUUCUCCACUGCUAAAGACCAAAGUUCAGAGCAUAGUUCCAACUUUAUAGUGGUCGACUCCCUUCAUUCAUGUGAACUUUCCUCAGAGAAGGCUGCAAAAAAAGCCAAGUAUCACACCUGUCACAAAAAUUCUUCGAGUCUUUCCAUUGAGUUCUUUAAGCAGAGCGGUUGGAGUGAUGCACAAGUCAUGAAACUUAUCCAGAGGUCACCGCUGUUGCUGCGUACUAAGGUAGAGACUGUCCUGAAGCCCAGAAUGAGAUCUUUGAAGGACAUGGGAUUUUCUGACACUGAAAUAGUUCAGCUGGUUUCUUCAUGUCCAUCUGUACUACUUAUACGUGAUAUCCAACCAAAGAUCAACUUCUGGAGGUCACUACUUUGUUCUAAUGAGAGGUUACUGAAAGCCUCUAGGAGGAACUUGUUUCUACUUACUUCUAGCUUGGCUCGGAAGAUAAAACCUAAUAUAUCUCUCUUAAGGGAAUGUGGCAUCAGUGACAAACUCAUCGCGAAUAUGGUGGUGACAGGGCCAGCCAUUUUGGGUCGAUCAAACAAAUGUAUGAAGGAAGCUAUCAAAUAUGUUGAGGAGUUGGGUGUGCCACGUAACUGUAGAAUGUUCCCUUAUGCACUUAAAAUAGUCGCUGGCAUGAGCCGAUCCAGGUUUGAUGCUACCUUUGCAACCCUGAUGAACUUUGGGUUCUCCCAGUCAGACAUCAUUGAUGUAUUCAGGAAGCAACCAACCGUUUGGGUUUUCUCAAAGAAGAACAUUUGUGACAAGAUGACUUUCCUGAUGAAGGAAGCUGGUUGUGAGCUGACAUAUAUCAUUUCCCAUCCUGCGAUUCUUAUAUACAGCUUGGAGAAGAGGUUGAAACCUCGAUAUGAAAUUCUGAAUUUUCUUGAGCAGAAUAAAUUGCUGGAUAAAGUAAAUGGCCUGAUAACCAUGAUAAUGCUAUCGGAAAAGAAGUUCCGAAAUAAAUUUCUUUUCCUGCUUCGCGAGGAGAAAUAUAUUGCUCUAUAUGAUUCCUAUGUUGCUGCUGUGCAUGGAAAGCGCCAUGUUGUUGUGGAAAAUUAGGAUUGCAAGUGCUUCCUUAGACAAAGUGUGAACCUAUUGCAUACUGACUGUAUUAUUUAAUCAUGUAAAAUUUGUGACAAUUUAAAUUCUCUAAGAGUUACUUCUUACGGUAGAACGUCCAUGUUGAUUUUGAGAUUUCUUUUCUCUUUAUUCUUCGGUACAACAAAAGAUACUGAUUCUUUAAUGCAUAAAUAUAGAGAACCAAGGGGGAGAAGUCAUUAUUUAAGAAAGAAACAAAGGUAACUAAAAUAUUUCAGAUCUGUCGGUUGGUCAGUGUCCACUUCAUUGAGAGCGAGUUAAUUAGGAGAGUAUGAUUUGAAGAUAUCCUCCAACCCUUAUAAAUAUGCAUGUGAUCAACGUGCUCUAUUGUGAGAUUUAUUAUUAUAGUAUCAACUGUCACCUCUCUCUCUGUCUCUCUCUCUCAGCCCGUGACUGCAUGCAUCCCAAUAUUCGUUCUAGUCAUAUCCAGACUCACACAUUAUGAAUUUAAGAGCCAUCGGUCCAACUCAAGCUUGCUUCUUAAUGUUCAAUUUAAUGCACUAAGCAAUAUAUAUGCUUUAAGGUAACAACACUCUCUCGAGUGAAGUGAACGGGCCUCGGCGCCCACCUGAUUCAAAUCAGAGAGGACUAUAUUGGAUCUGAGCCCAACAUAAGUCACUGGAUCUGGUUCGAUGGAACCAAAUGAAGGACUCUCCUCUCUCACACACAACUAUAUCGAUGGCCACGCGUGCAAUGAGAAGACUCGUGGAAACCUAAUCAGCCACCGGCGGCACCGUCUUCCUCUCCAUCGGCGAAUGGCGGCGGCAGCAAUGUCUUCCUCAGCGGGCUCAUCGUUGGUAUCUUUCUCCUCCUCCUCCUCCUCCUUUGCCGUCGCCCACUCUGCCCCAACCGCCUCCCUCCAUCUUCCCGCCCACACAUUCGCCGCCAGCGUCCCCUCUUCUUCGCCUCGUCGUAGCCGUCUUCCCCCUUCCUCCCUGCGCCGGCGUUUUCCCUUCUCCUCCCUACGUCGGCGUCUUCUUUCAUUGUAUCAUCCUUUCACCCCCGCGGCCAGCGUCUUCUCCCCCCUUCGCUUCGCUGCAGCCGCCCCAGCAACCCAACCGACAAAGACAGCCACCUCAACCCACAGCAACCUUCUCCCGUACCUCCUCCUCCCUCUCCUUCUCCUCGGAUCCUUCAUCCUUGCCCCCCUCCCAACUGACAGCAACCCCUUCUUCAUCCUUCUCCUUCUACGUAAAUUGUUUUUUUGAUAUAGAUUUGAACAAGUAUUAUUUGGUCCUUUAAAUGAAUACUAUGUUUCUUUUUUUUGUUUUAGCGAUUACAUCUAUUAAUCAUGAUGUAUACUUUUAAAAUUUUAAGAAGCAUCUCUCUUCACUCGGGCGUGGAAAGAAAUGGCUAAUGGAAACUGAAUGCAGGUGGGCUAACGUGAGUGGUAGACGAAUGUCCUCUGAUCAGAUGAUUAGUUGAAUGUUUUCAACUUCCUUUUGGUUGGAAGCAGAUACAGAAAAUAUAUUAGUUUGGGUGCCCCUGAUUUGAGGUAGAAGAGGAAGCUGAACAUAGAGCAGGCAGCAAUAAGACUACUUUUCUUGUAUUUUUCUGCAAACAGUACGUGAUACUGCUUCAAAAGAUCAUGUUUUUGGUGCAAAAGAGGCUCUUUCGCUGUCUCCCAAGUAACAAGUCCACUAUCCAUCUUUCCUCCCAUCAACUUUGCAGUCUGUUUAACUUCUCCACUGCUAAAGACCAAAGUUCAGAGCAUAGUUCCAACUUUAUUGUGGUCGACUCCCUUCAUUCAUGUGAACUUUCCUCAGAGAAGGCUGCAAAAAACUCCAAGUAUCACACCUGUCACAAAAAUUCUUCGAGUCUUACCAUUGAGUUCUUUAAGCAGAGCGGUUGGAGUGAUGCACAAGUCAUGAAACUUAUCCAGAAGUCACCGCGGUUGCUGCGUACUAAGGUAGAAACUGUCCUGAAGCCCAGAAUGAGAUCUUUGAAGGACAUGGGAUUUUCUGACACUGAAAUAGUUCAGCUAGUUUCAUCAUGUCCAUCUGUACUAAUACGCGAUAUCCAACCGAAGAUCAACUUCUGGAGGUCACUACUUGGUUCUAAUGAGAGGUUACUGAAAGCCUCUAGGAGGAACAUGUUUCUACUUACUUCUAGCUUGGCUCGGAAGAUAGAACCUAAUAUAUCUCUCUUAAGGGAAUGUGGCAUCAGUGACAAACGCAUCGCGUAUAUGGUGGUGACAAAGCCGACCAUUAUUGGUCGAUCAAACAAAUAUAUAAAGGAAGCUAUCAAAUAUGUUGAGGAGUUGGGUGUGCCAUGUAACUGUAGAAUGUUCCCUUAUGCACUUAGUAUAGUCACUGGCAUGAGCCGAUCCAGGUUUGAUGAUACCUUUGCAACCCUGAUGAACUUUGGGUUAUCCCGGCAAGACGUCAUUGCUGUAUUCAGGAAGCAUCCAACCAUUUGGGUUUUGUCAAAGAAGAACAUAUGUGACAAGAUGACUUUCCUGAUGAAGGAAGCUGGUUGUGAGCUGACAUAUAUCGUUUCCCAUCCUGUGUUUCUUGCAUGCAGCUUGGAGAAGAGGUUGAAACCUCGAUAUGAAAUUCUGAAUUUUCUUGAGCAGAAUAAAUUGCUGGAUAAAGUAUAUGGCCUGCUGUCCCUGAUAACGUUAUCUGAAAAGAAGUUCCGUAAGAAAUUUCUUUUCCUGCUUCGUGAGGAGAAAUCUAUUGCUCUGUAUGAUUCCUAUUUGAAAUCUGUUGCUCUAUAGGAUUCCUAUGUUGCUGCUGGGCAUGGAAAGCACCAUGUUGUUUGGGAAAAUUAGGAUUGCAUGUGCUCCCUCAGACAAAGUGUGAACUUAUUGCACACUUAUUUAAUCAUGUUAAAUUUGUGACAAUUUAAAUUCUCCAAGGAGCUUCUUUUUCUUUUGUUCUUUGGUACAACAAAAGAUACGGAUUCUUUUAUGCAGAAAUAUGGAGAAGUCUUUACUCAAGAAAGAUAUAAAGGUAACUAAAAUAUUUCAACUCUGUCAGCUAUCUGUGUCAACUUGGCAUCAGUCAUAUUAAUAAACUUCAUGAUUCUGUUGGAAUAUGUGAAGCUGAUGACAGUGCUGUCAUUUAGAUGAUUGAGAUCUAGUUAAUUAUGAGAGUAUGAAUAAGGACACUUGAAGGUAGCCAUUCCCAAAUGUAUGUAUGACAUUAAAUGUAUUUGAUUUGAAAAUAUCCUCUAACCCUUAUAAAUAGUUGUAGUCAUGAUAUAUGAAAUGUGCAGAGAGAAAUAUAGUUGUGUGAGGACUCUUCUUUGUCAUAAUCCCAUCACCUCUCCACCGUCCCUAAAUUAUAAAUCUCUAUCUAUAUAUGAGCCUCUCUUGUUACAUGUUAUUAAUCUUUGAGUAGUAUAUGAUAGUAGAGUGUGACUUGUUGAAGAUAUCGACUCACUAUGCCAUCCAUAAUAUAUAUUCUAAUACAUGAUUCAUAACCUAUGUUGUACAGUAAGUGGUGUCACUGGUUAUGCUCGCUCAUGAUUUGUAGUACAUAUAUAACUGAUAUAUGAAAAGAAUAAGAAUUUUUUUAAAAAUAAUUUUAAAAUAUUUUUGCCAUCCUUUUGAAGCAUAUCAUGCUUGAGUGAUACCUAUUUUAUCUCACAUAUGCAUGUACAUGUUUAAUGCAUGGUAAAUGAUUCAUAUUCCUAUUGAUACAUUUAUGGAAUCAUCAUGUAUAUGUAGGUGCGUGCUUGAUGCAUGAUCGACAGACAUAUGAGUUAUCUACUUAGGUUGGUAUAGAGAUCAUGGUUAUACCCCCGUAUGAUAGAAGCUUUACGCCCAUCAUGCAAUAUGUAGCACUCAUUGGGUCGAAUACUUAUUUCACUCUGCAAGUAUGAUCUAUUGUCUUGUGAUUAUACGAUUGAUUGAUUCAACUAACAAUAGAAUAAUAUGAUCAUAUAAUGGUAUAGUUAUGUAAUGAUAUGUUACAAAAUGGCAUGCGAGUCUAAUAAGAUAAAAGAAUCUGGAUGAUCCUUAUCAAUUAUAGGAGGGCUACUACAUUAAAGUGCAAUUCUUUUUAGGGAUUAGUAAGUCAUUAGAUGUAGUAAUUAGAUAAUUUUUCUAUCUAUCGUUGGAAAAUGAACUCAGUCCAUCGGAAUAAUACCUUUCUAUCUAUCGUUGGAGUGCACUAUCGGAUAUUCGGCUAUAUAAAGAUGAUUAUUAUAAUAUGCUUAGAUGGUUAAAUUUUAUGUAUACUAUGGUACAUCAUGCGAUAAUUAUGAGACUUAUUAUGUAGUUUAUUUUUAUUCGUUUAUCGAAAGAAGUAUCCAUCAAUGACAAAUAUGGAUGAAGUACAUAGAUAUGACUAACUAUAUUUGUCGAUAAUAUCAUAUGCAUUUUGUGAUGUGAAUAUGAACAUUAAUUAAUCAAAUGAUUUUAUAUUUUUAUUUAUUAUUCUCUAACUUGUAUAUUAUAUACAUAGUUAAUUCAUUAUGAAAAUGUUGUUAUUAUCUUUUCUCGAACACUAUUGCCUAAGAGCAUGUGUUUAUCCAAAACUAUUUUUACAGAUUUCAGUAAAAAAUAUUUAAAAAUAGUAUGUUGAUAGUUUCAAAGUUAACAAGCAAACAAAGUCGUUAUCGGGGGAGUGAGAUUAUAUUGAAACAAUAAAUAUAAACAACUCUGUGUAAUAAAUUCAUUUAUAAUAAGGAGUUAUUUGUAAGAUAAAAAAAAUAUUAAAUUGUUUUUUUAUUUUUCGAUAGAAAAGACUUCAUCUUUCUGGUUAGGUUAAUUUUGUGAGCGAAGACGGCCGUGUUGUUGUCUACUCGUUCGGCCGCUCUCAUUCGCCAUCGAUUUGGUCUCCAACUCGCGGCCCAAAACCCCGAGCCUCCCCGCGUUCCCUUACAAUCUCGCUUCUCGGAAGAGCAACGGCAGCCAGGCGGCGGAUGACUACCAUGCUGCGAGAGUUGCGGCUGUCGCUGAACCAAACCCAGCGGGUGCGCCUUCAAUCCGCUCUCCAGCGGCUCCAGGACAUGGCUUCCCUCGCCUCCGCCGUUACCGUCGUCGCCGACACCAUCCCCGUCAACCACGAAGACAGCAUCCUUAAGUGUGUGCGCUUUCUGACCCAUAAGAACCUUCGUUCUCUCUCUCUCUCUUCCUCCUCCAUCUUCUUCUUGGUUUUCUCCACAUCCUCCUCUCUCCUUGCGAACUGUUUUAAUCAUCUCCUUCGUCCUUCUUUUCCAUGUUUCGGUGAAGAUUUGCAGUCAUUUUGUCUUCUGUUAAUGGUCUUUUUGUUGCGGUCGUCCCUAUUUAUCUUACGCUUUCCUCCUAUCUCAUGGUUGCUCCUGAAUUCGUGUGAUGGUCAGGGGCCAUGGGACGUCCGAUCUCAACGGCGAAGUAGUGGCCACUCUCUGUGGUGUGGUUGAGCGAGUAAACAAACUGGUGUAUGUCCGUGCUCAGAGAGCCAGGUACUGAUACUGUGCCUUCCUCUUCUCCUAAUUUUGCACUAUUUCUGUUCUUGAUGUUGUAAUCCUUUAUGCUUGUUAAAUGUUCUGUUUAGUUGGUCAAGAAUCAUCAUGCUGCAUGACUUAGUCGAUUGUAUCCGUAUAUUUUCUUAAUUCUCUUUUGUACUAAUUUGCAAAAAAUCCUUGAUUCAUAGACACCCAGGUCAAGUGCGUCAACUACAAUAAGAUUCUUUGUUUUUCCAAUACUCCACUUAUCAACCGCAUUGAUUUCUUUUAGCAGAAGAAUUUGUUGUAACUAAAGUGCUGUAUUGUCUCUCAGUGAGGACAUCUGUUUAGUGACUAGAUGAUGCUGUCUUUCUUCCUCAUAUGAUAUGUUUGAUUUGUUGUUUCAUGACUUACAAAUGAAAAUUUAUUUUCCUUGUAGGUACAAACCAGAGGUUGGAGAUAUAAUCGUCGGCCGAGUCAUUGAGGUCUUGUUGCUUUAUGAUAAAUCUAUAUAUACAUUUCUUUUUGCUAUCACAUAAAAUAUAUAAACAAUUUAUCAUUAUCUGAAUUAUAAUAAGACAAAAAAAAAUCUUAUUUAAGAUGGUUAUCAGUGGAUAUUUGACUAUCAUAAAAUUAUAAUAUAUGUGCAGUCAGCAGUAAAUCGUCAAUUGACUUAGCAACAUGUCUUGUAAUAUUUCCUCUUUUCAUUUUCAUCUGUUAUUUUGUUAAAUGAUUCUACAUUGUGUCUUGUAGAUUGCUCCAAAACGCUGGAGAUUAGAGAUAAAUUUUAGUCAAGAUGCAGUAUUGAUGCUUUCGUCAAUGAAUCUUCCAGAUGGUAUUCAGGUGAGAUCAAAUUCUUGUCUCCUCUUCAAGCUCUGAGCUCUUCAUAUAUUGGAGAACAGAGGUUCUUAUUUUUAUAUUUAUUAUAUUGUGUCAGGUUAUCACUACAUAACCAAUUAUAAACAAUUCAGAAGUUCUCGCAUCUUGUAUAACAUGGAUUUUAUAAUAGAGCUACUGUUGGUGCAUGCUAAAAGAACUGUUUGUUGUACCUAUGUUAGUAAUUUCAUCAAGAAAGUAAUGUGCAUCUGACUGCAGAAUAUCUGGGUGAGGAGCACCAAAAAUUUCCCAAUGUGGUAUCUGACUCUAGAUGAUAAAAUGAUUAUCUAUAAAGCACCUGCAGCAUAUCUAUAUUUGAAUGGUUUACUGUAACUUAUCAUUGUUCUUGGACAACAUGGAAAGCACAGUGAUGAAUCUGUAAACCAAUAAAAAGUACGGGAAGUGAUGCCUUGCUGAUUAGGAUUUUUUUUUGGGAAUUUGAUUUGUUGUAUAAUGCAUAGUCCUGAUAUUUGAAAUCUAAUAAACAUCUUUAGGUGAAGUAGAGACAAAAUAUUUAUAUAUGUCUUUACUUAAUGCUACAAUAUGAUUUAUAUUUUUUGACAAUGAAAAUUGAACUGUAUAUUUGCUGCCACAAUAACUGUACACAUGCAUGCUUAUUGUUGAAUCUGUAUUUAUUGUACAAUCUUGUGUUAGGCAGCUGAUAGCUAGUGUAAGACUUACCUCCUUAGGCUUGGGGCCUUAACUCUUUUUUUUAUUGUUGUUAAUGUUUCUUGACACUAUCAUGUAAUGUCAUGGUGGCAUCAGUUAAAUAACUUCAUAGCAACAUUAACAAUGAACACAUUAAUGAAGGGAAAUUAGGUAUAGGUAGCUUUUAAGGGAGGCGUGUCCUGAGGUAGUUUUAUAAGACUGUCUUUGCCAGAAAAAAAAGCAUGAACAUGAAAAAUCUUGCUAAUAACUAUGGUGUAAUUGCUUGAGAGUGCAAAUUAUUUGUCACUAGAAAAUACAGUUUUAUAGAUUGAAAAAAAAAUUAUUGCUUGAUUUUGCCAAACUCCAUUGAAUCUAUAGUGGCAAAGAUUCUUAGUACUUUAUAUAUCUUUUGUUUGCACCAUUGAUUUUAAGUCAUCGAGUGUGUGUAAACAAAUAUAAAAUAUUAUUGAGUUGUCUUUUUUUGGCAUCUAUAUGAAACAUAAUAAAUUUAAUUUUAUCUCAGUUUUAGGAUCAUCUUGGCAUACACAAGGCUAGUUGUACAUGUUUUAGAGAGGUGGGUUUUGCCAAAGAUUGCUGACCAUUGUUUACCGGUCUGAUCAAGGACCUGUAUUGGACCAUAUGGUUUGGUAAUGGUUGGUAACCUGUUUUUGUUUACUUUUUCAUACAAUACUGGACAGUAUGGGUCAACAUACUACUCGGUGGUUUAUGAUGCGAUACCAGUAUGAUAAAUUACCGAAACUGAUAGCAUAUCAAGUGUCAUCCUUGCAUUUUGCUUUCACUAGUGAGUAGGUAGAUAUAUUUCAUAGCAUGGAUGAAACUAAGAUCACAUUGUUUCAUUGAGUAAUUGAAAAAGGCUUGGAGAAAUGGAGGUCUUACUAUAUUAUGAUAGAUAAAGCAAAAAAAAUGUAAUUGUAAGAAUAAAGAAGUCUAGAAAAAAUAAUGCAUUAUAUAUUCUCUACUUUGUGUUUUAGGUUCAGUUAAGCAAAUUGUUUGUUUGCUGCAGCAUUUCCAUAGAGCUAUUUGACACUCUAGGGGUGAUUUUGUGGCUACUCUUUGCUUUACUUUUUUUCUCAGUAAUAUCUAGUUACUGCUUUCUUUUCCUAGUGCUCUGAGUUUCGUUCAUAUAUUUCUCUAUUCCUUUUUCCCCCUAACUAUAUUUUAGUAUGGUUGAGCUAAUCUGUUUCCUGGUUCACCUCAUUCUAAAUGAUAGAGGCGGAGAACUGCAGUUGAUGAACUCAAUAUGCGCAGUAUCUUUGAAGAAAAUGAUGUAAUUUGCGUAAGUAAUUUAUCUGUUGCUACAAUGAGGAGUUGGUAAAAUAUGAUUUCAGCCCAUUAGUAAAGUCAUCUGCAUUGGUAUUAAUGAGACUUGCUGAAUGAUCUUUAGCUAAUCUGUUUUACUUAUUCAAUUUCAGGCUGAAGUUCGUGGCUUUCAGCAUGAUGGGAGCCUGCACCUACAAGCAAGAAGUCAGAAAUAUGGAAAAGUAAAUCAUAUUGUUAUUAUUUUGCAUGUUCUUUAAAGUUAUUUAACUAUAACUUCAUAGCUUAUUGUCUCCAAAGUUUUUUAACCAUGAAACUGAAGUUGCAAGAAAUUACAUAAGAGAACAAAUGUGUUAGAUCUGAACUCUUGAGAUCAUCAUUGCAAAUUUUGACAAUGAUCAUGGAUGGAUGUGGGAUUAUUUGGGGAUUGUAAUCUCGCCUCUUUAAAAAUCUUUGUUAUCACUAGGACCCAUUGGAUCACUGUAUUCCUUUAUAGGUGAUGGAUUCAUAUGGUUAUGUAAACCCACCGUUUAUUACCUCCAUCGAUGUGCAAUGUCGCACCAUGGAAUUAGAUUUCUGCUGUGUACACAGUAGGUCCCAACAUCGCCUGCACUUUUGAGAAUAAUUAAUGCUCUGAUAUAAUUAGUCAUUACAGCCCAUGCAAGAAACAAGAUGGACUUCACCCUAAGAAGGUCAGGUUAUUGUUAGGAUUGACAGUGGCACUAAGAUGGUGGUUAAUAAUUCAACCAGAAACUUGAACUUGUGCAAGAGAACUUAGACAAGAAUCCAAGAAUUGAAAACACUCAAGCAAUAAGAAAUAUAUGCAAAACAUUUUGUACUAGUUCAGCCAAUGACUAAUGUCCACUCCAGAUUUCUUGUCACCAGAGGUCAUGGAUUUACACUGAUGAUCUUUGUUUCACCCAGGAAGGUCAAAUAGCUUUUACAAUUUUCUCCUUUCCAAGGAUAAUCUCAUGCUUUAAGAAUCACUCCUCUUUACAAGAAUUUCUCGAUUUCUCUUUUACUCAAAUCCACUCAAUUACAAGAAGACAAACAUAGGUGAAGACUUGGAGAUAUUGAAAGCCAAGGGAUUACACCUUUACAUCACGAGAAAUGCUUAAAAUCAAUUGUGUUUUCUCUUUUUGCACUUGAUAUCUGAAGCCCGUACCUUGACGAGGAUAUUUAUAGUUACCUAAGGUCCUUAACCAUUUAAGAAUUUUGUCACAAGGUUAUGAUUCUAGCUGUUAGAGAUCCAAUGGUCUUCUGAUGGUGCCAUCACCAGAGUGUCUACGCCUGAUGUAACAGGCUCAGGGGUCAGUGCUGUUACACACGUAAGUGGUGCCAUCGCCUGGCUUGGGUCAGCAUUUUCUGGCAUCCAUUCAUGACCUGUCAUGCUGUUAAUUUGCACAUUUGUGUAAUAGAUCCAUGAUAUUUCCAAUGUUGUUUAGUCCGCUCAGCUUUAGGCUCUUAGAUGAGUCAAAACUCUUUUUCUCCACGAGCCAUUUUGACUCGAUUAUUUGCAAAUCACUUGAGGAGAUUAGUUCAUUUAAUUUAUCAACUGAGUUAUUCAUCGUCAAAAUUUGGCAUCCAACAGUUAUUUCUUUUUAGCUGCGAGAAUGACACAUAAUAUGCAGAUCAACCUCACAUCCAGUGUGAGCCGACUUGAUUAUCAGUGUUAACGGAGUUAAAACCCGAUUGGUUUCUUCUAAUGUAGUUGUUCUUGUUAAUCUCGAGAUCUAUGAGACUGGCAUAACCUAUUGCAGCAUCUUUGCAUCUUCAGAAAGAACGUGAGACACUUGCAUUCUUGUUGGUCAGAUUUGUUUCUUUUAUGGAUGCUAAAAGUUAGCUGUUAAUGUUUUGCUGUGAACAGGAUAUUUUCAGUCACCAUUGUUUUGGCCUUUCUUCAUAAAAUUACCAAAUGUUUUGUUAGUAUACUUGAAUUAGGAUUUCACUGUUGCAUGUUGUAGUAUGUGUUCCUUGUACCAAUAUCAUGAGCUAUCAUCUUUAUUGGCCUCGCUUAUAACUGCAUGCCUAUACUUAAAAAAUGUAGCUUGGGAAAUAACCAUGUAAGUGAUCUCGAAUAGUUAGAUAUGGGGGGUUAGGGAAUUUAUAUCGUCUGGAUUUCUUAGAAUGAGAACUAGAGUUUGGGAGGACACAACAUAAAGGCUGGUGGCAUUUCUUUAUAUACCUCCUGACAUAAGAAAGCUUUCCUCAGGCUGCUUUUGCUGUAUUAGCUACAUUGAUUGAAUCCAUUUCAUAUUUGUGUAUUAUGUUUCAGUCUCUUCUCUUCUUUCUGUUAUAAUGUUAUGAUACUGGACGUGAAAUGCUAUUUCAGCUCGAGAGGGGUAUGCUGCUUACUGUCCCAGCAUAUUUGGUGAAGCGUCGGAAGCAGCAUUUUCACCAUCUAGAAAACUAUGGUGUUGACUUGAUUCUUGGAUGUAAUGGAUUCAUCUGGGUCGGAGAACAUGUAAAUUCAAAUGGAGAAAAUGAUAUGAUGGUAGACCAAGAGAACAGAGAAGGUCUAGUUAACAAAUCCGAGGUGGGACAAGCAACAUAUGAAGUGCAAGAGCAAAUCACACCACUUGAAAUCAGGAAGCAUGUAUGUCGGGUUGCUAAUUCCGUGCGUUUGCUCUGUGCCUUGGGCUUCAGUCUCACUGUUGAAGUGAUUGUUGACACAGUUGAAGCAAGUAUCUCAUCAAAUACAGAUAUAAAAGACAUACUUGCAGCUGAAUUUUAUGUUCAGACUGCGGAGAGGGAGGUCCAGCGCAGAGUUUCCCUGACUAGAAGGAAGGGUUAAUCCUAGGGUAAAUCAAACAUGUAGGUCGGCAGUUCAGAAUGUCUUAGCUUCGGUGUUUCUGUAUCCAAAGUAGUGUUAGUGCGUGAAGGGCUUGUGAAGCUAUUCCAGAACUAGGCCGUUCUUGGACAUCAAACCGCAACUUCUGUGUUUAAUUGAGAUUGAUGACAUGCCUAUCAGAAAAGCCAUGAACCGAGUUGUUAAAUCCAUGAAGUUUGACACCUUUCAACUGGUUUCAAUCAUGUUGAUAUGUUCUGCAUCAGAUAAAUCAGCUGGUGGUUGGAACCCAAAAAGUGUGGUAAUUGAUGCCUUUACAAUGUGUUUAUGCUAAUGUUUCCAGAUCAGGAUCAGUUAUCUCUAAUGUCUGUCAAGUUAUGACCGAGGCAUCUCUGCUUUUGUUUUGGAUGAUUUUGAAGUCAGCCUUCAGAAUCCGCCAGUAAUCAACAUUAUAUAGGUAUUGAUAUGUGAAGAUACUGGAAAGAAUUACUUCUUUCCCUGUGUGAAAAAGCCAUGAUUUCUCAAUUAUUUAGUGGUAUGGUUUUUUUCUUCCCAUUAGGUUUUAUGCAAAGCAAUAUUGUUAGCGAGCAUUUAUAUUUUAAUAUAUCCUUAUAAUUACAUUUAAUAGUAAUUUUACAAAAAUGUUAUAUAUGUUCUAACUGCCAUCCUGAAUCCUCUCGUUUGGACCACUUCCGACACCUAAAAAUUCUAACCCACCUUAAAUUGCUCCCAUCGGAAGCUCUACUCCUUGAAAGUUCAUAAUCUUGACAUUUUCCUUCUUUGUUUUUAGUAUGCAAAAUUUUAAUUCUUAUAUUUUAAAAAAUUAUAUUGAUAUUCUUGUAGUUAAGGAAGUGAAACAGUUAGAUUUUUUUUUAAUUAUAUUAAUUUUUAGUGAUAAAAAUAUAUAAAAAAAAAAUAAUUUUAAGUUCGGUGAUGGACUACAUCGAUAGCGGACGCUAGUGUUCGUGGUGGUGCACCCCUCUCCCUUUCUCCUCGAUGGUGCACCCCUCUCGUCGCCCUCCACACCCCCUUGUCCUCUCCUUCUCUUUCUCUACUUGUCGCCCUCCAUCGAGCAGCGGACACUAGUGUCAGUGGUGGCGCACCACUCUCCCAUUCUCCUCGGUGUUGAGCAUGUCCGUCAUUUUUCCACACCCCCUUGUCCUCCCUUCGCCUUGUCAUUGUCUCCCGGUCCCGUUCCCUAACCUACUCUCCCUUCACCCUUCUAUCCAACUUAUUCAUCCCUCUUCAUUGACCAUGGAUGGAUGGAAUGUUGAUGAGUUCUUCGCUUACUUGGACAUCUGACCGUUGACUUCCAAGUGAUCGGCAAGCAGGAAUCGGAAACGCGAGGAGUCGAGGUUGGUCACCGACCUAAUCACCCUGUUGGGCGAAAACCCCGAUAGCUUCCAAGCGAAAAUCCCUAUCUAUAUUCUUCUAUAAUCUUGUUCAUAGCUUCGGCCUGAAUUGAUGAAGGUGUCAUCUUUCCUGGAGCUCACCUUCGCCGAUGACAUACACAGGACCUUGUUUCACCCCAUCUAGCAGGCGAUGUCAUCGUCUUCCACUCAACGUCACACCAAGAUAUCCAUGAUCGGUGCCAGGAACGUGGGCAUGACCAUCGCCCAAACGAUCAUGAUGGACAAGCUAGUGCCGGUGGAUGCUAAACCCGACAAGCUGUAAGGGGAGAUGCUGGACCUGCAACACGUCGUUGCCUUUCUCUCGCGCACUCAGAUCUUAGCAUCUCUGGACUAUACAAUGAUGGCGAACUCGGACAUCUACAUCAUCACGAUCGACGCUCGACAGAUCCCAGGGGAGAUACGACUGAACAUACUGUAGCGCAAUCUAACACUAUUCAAGGAGAUUGUGUUGCCACUAGUGUGAUACUCGCCAUGGAUGCUGUUGCUGGUGGUGUCAAAUUCGGUGGAUUGUGUUGACGUAAUCACCUGGAAGCUAUCGAGGUUUUCGCCCAAUAGGGUGAUCGAGUCGAGGACCAACCUCGACUCCUCAUGUUUCCGAUUCAUGCUCGCCGAUCACCUGGAAGCCAACUCUCAACCUCGACUCCUCGUGUUUUCGAUUCAUGCUCGCAAAUCACCUCGAUGGGGAGGGGGAUGGGUCCGCCACUACCUACGCAUUUUCGAUUCAUGCUCGCCAAUCACCUCGAGGGGGAGGGGGAGGGAUCCGCCACCGCCGACGCCAGUGACAUCAUCCACUACCAAAUUUAAAAUUAUUUUUUUACUUUUUAUUUUUAUGUUUCUAUCCAUAAAAACUAGAUCGUUUUAUUUUCGUAACUAUAAAAAUAUAAAUAUAGGGAUCUGAACACAAUGGACAUUUGCUCGUCUAUAGCAUAAUGAUAUUUCAUCAGUGUUGGUUGCCGCAUAGCGAAACUGGUGCAGUGGCUUCAGUCAGCAAUUGCAUCUGGUUUGUGUGUAAAGCUUUCGCAUCCUCACCUGUCCGAUAGCCCACCACAUGAACAAGCUUCAUGGAAGUGAAGCAACAACAUGUAUGUGCAUAUGCAUCAGGCAGCCAACCAAGAAGUUUUCUCGUUACAUGUAAAAGUAGAGCCAUUAGAUUCCAUAGAUGUCGGAAACAUAACAAGUUGAAAAGGUAGACUUCAACAAACGAUCGUUCACCGUCAGAUACCAUAGACAAGCAACAAUGUUACAUACUCCAUAUCAGAUGCAACCUGCAAGCCGAAGCACCUAAAAAUCACAAUGAGCAGCACCGGCAACCAGUCAAUUGCCGUCGUCAGGUUUGGAUGUUUCUCUCAUCUCAUCUACGCCAUCCUCCUACAAAGGUUCAUCGAUAAGUAGGAUAUCGGAUGAGAAACAAGUUUUCAAGCAAUGGCAAUUAAAUGAAAGUGUCUGAAUGUUUGUUGAAGCAGACAUAACACCUGCAUGUCGGAAGUCCACAACGUAAGGUUGUCACGUAGGAGCUGCAUUAUUAGAGUGCUGUCCUUGUAUGAUUCCUCUCCAAGAGUAUCCAACUCAGCAAUUGCUUCAUCAAAAGCCUAAAACCAGAGAAGCAGAGAGAGACAAACUCUUCAAUUAUAACGAUUGGUUGUUCCAAAAAUAUAACUAGUGAGCAAAAAGAUCCCAUUCAAAAGAAUUGGACCACCAAAAACAUCACAAAAAAGAUAAUAUAUAUCAACCAAGAAUGCCCCAAAGUUAGAAAAAAACGACAGACAUAAUGACAUUGCCUCAUUAGGUCAUAUCAAAAUAAAUCAGAGAGCUGAUCUCUGUGUUAUCUGGAGAGUGCAUCACUGUAGUAAGUGGAAAGAAAUGGGAACAUGAAACUUACUAAUCUUUGUACAUGAUAUGACGAGUGUAGACUUCUUCGGAACACUUUUGGAACAAAAUACAACUUCAUAAAACUACAAGAAGCUCCAUAAGAUCAAACAUAUAAACUGUCACACCACACCACACCACAUGUUAGAAAGCUUAGAAAUGUCAUGCGCAGUUAGCAACGCUACUCACGCUUCAACUAGUAACAAAAACAUUAAUUGCGACUAUGGAAUUAGAUGG
rnacentral:lncRNA from 1 species